AAGGUGAUAGUGAAUCGAUUUAAGAUUAUUUUGCCUAAGAUCAUAGGCCAAGAUCAAGUGGGGUUUAUUAUAGGUAGAAAUAUUAUUGACAAUGUUGUCAUAGUACAACAAGUGUUGCAUUCCAUGAAAAGUAAGAGUACAGUUCAGUGGAAAACUAUUAAGAUAGACUUAGAGAAAGCCUAUGAUAGGGUGCAUUGGGAUUUUAUAGAAGCAUAUUUUAAAGUGGUAGUUAUUUCUAACUUUCUAAUAAAUGUUAUUAUGUCGGCUAUCUCGACAUCCACAAUGUAGGUUUUAUGGAACGAAGUUCCAACCCCUAAGUUCAAGCCUGUUAGAGGAAUCCGUUAGGGGUGUCUUUUAUCUCUAUAUCUUUUUUGUGUUAUGCAUGGAAUGGUUGGCCCAUUGGUUUCAUUCGACUAUCUCAUCUAGGGAAUGAAGCCCUAUUCGGUUAUCUCGAAGAGGGCUUGCCCUUUUACAUUUAUUUUUUGCGGAUGACUUAGUGAUUUUUACCAAAGCGAACUUAUAGCGUAGCAAACUUCUUAUUGACUUGUUUGGGUGAUUCUGUGAGUUUUCCAGGCACAAGGUUAAUGUUUGGAAGACCAAUGUGUUUUUUUCUACUGGAGUCAAUAAAGACUUAGUGAGAAAGAUUAAUGAUAUACUCGGGUUCCAACACAUUUAGGAUCUUGGUCAUUAUCUGGGAGCUCCCCUUCACCAAAGAAUCACCAAAUGUACGUUGAGUUUUUUGGUAGAAAGAGUUCGGAGGAAGCUUUCUAGCUGGGAAGCCAAAGAACUCUCAUUUAUGGGAAGGCUUACUCUAGCAUAGUCAGUUUUACUUUCAAUCCCAAGCUAUCUCAUACAAUCCUUAAUGGUCUCAAAAGGCGUCUACAACGAAAUUGAAGAAAUGGUGCGGCAAUUCAUUUGGAGAUCUUCUGGUGGUAAAAGGAAAACGGCAUUAGUGAGGUGGGAUGUUAUUUGUUAGAUUAGAUCGUAUGGAGGUUUUGGGAUACGACAUCUUAGUGGUCAGAACUUCGCUUUUAUGAUGAGGCUUGGUUUUAAUAUUGUUACCAAAACUGAUGCUUUAUGGGUUCGGGUCCUUAGAGUGAAGUAUGGGAAAAAUGACAGAUUGCCAGAAUGUAUUGCAUAGAGUAGAAACUCUUUUAUGUUGAAAUCCAUUUCUAAGGCAUGGCCUUUACUGUGUGAUAAUUUGAUAUGGUUAAUGAAUAAUGUAAAUAACGUUCAUUGUUGGAAGGAUGCUUAGGUCUCUAAUAUAAUACCAUUAAGAAAACAUGUUCCUGCUUAUGCGAAUGUUGUUUCAUACUGUAAGCUGAGUGAGAUGGUUACGAAAAAUGCCACAUGAAACCUCAAUUUAUUUCGAGUUUGGUUGAUAGAAAAUGUUAUCCAACACAUCGUUAGCAUUCCCCCACCAAUGUCUUUUGUAGGACCAAAUUUGAUUUUUUUUUGUCGUUCUACAACAAUUGCCUUCUUUGUUAAAAGUAAAUAUUGGAUGUUGAAAAAAUGGUCUUGGAAUCCUAGAGAUGUAGUUUGGAAUAUAGUGUGGAAAUUUUCUAGGACUCAGAGAGUUAGACAUUUUAUUUGGAUAGUUCUAAAACAGAGACUCUUAACCAAUGUUGAGAGAAUUCAAAGGAGGAUUGGUCAGGAUGAGUUAUGCCUUCUUUGUGGACAUAGAUAUGUGGAUGCAUUACAUGUACCUAGGGAUUGCUCUGUUGCGAAAGAUGUUUGGUGCCAAGCUUUUCCACUAAGUCAACAUGGGGUUUUCUUUUCUAGCAAUUUAACAGAAUGGUUGAUUUCAAAUUUGCACGAUCACUCAAAUCACAACACGAGGGAUCAAAGUUGGGUUUGUCUAUUCGAGUUAUUAAUGUGGCAUAUUUGGAAAAAUAGAAAUUAUUUUAUCUUCCAAGGUAUAUCCAUGAAUCCAAAUGAUAUUAUUAAGGUCUCAUAUAGCUGGGCUAACCAAUAUAUUUCAGUACAUAGGGACGUGUCGAGGGUCAUCAUCCAAUUUGAUAAUUUUGAUGUUGUUAAAGCUAUUUGCUACCGUCAAUUAGCUGGGGCAAGUAUAUCACUUGUUAAGAGAAUCCAACAUAUUUUAUCCCAUGAAGACAAGAGGUUCGUGCAACAUACCCUUAAGAAAAAUAAUCAGGUAAGGAAUUCAUUAACUAAAAUGACUUUUGCGAAUGAUGAAGAUUUGUGUUUAUUUGAUGUCCUUCUUAUAGAGAUUCAAGUAAUUUUAAAAGAGGAUAGAGUGAGAGGUAAUUUGGCUCCAGUUAUUAAACUAUUUCAGUUUGUUUUUUCACAAAAAAAAUACAUCUAUUAGCCCUCUUAUAUUAACUAAUAAUUAAAAAAAUAUUUUAAAGUUUAUUCUAAUUAAAUUUGGGUGACUUGAUUCACAUACACCAAAUUCAAUUAGAGCUAUAGAUUAAUAAAAAUCUCAUAUGGUCACGUAACCAAUUUGUUAAGUUUUUAAAUGUACACAAAUUAAAAUGUCCUUUUCAAUAAUAAAAGGAUUAAAAUGAACAUUUGGUAUACUAUAAGGACUGGUAUUGUAUUUUAACCUCAUUUUUUGAGUGAACGAUGAUAUUAUAAAAAAAAUGAAAUUAUAACAAAUUAAAAAAUACCAGAACUAUACUUUAACCCAAAAAAACAAUAUCUUCAAUAUAUAUAUACACACAAUUUUUCUUUUAAGAAAUAUGUCAUAUUCUCAAGAGAAAAUACUUAUGUUAAAACUUUAAAGAUGAUAUUGUUGAAAAAAAAUCACAAAUACGAAUAUAAAUCAUAAAAUAAUCAUGAAAAAUAUCAAAAAAUAAGAGUAAAUCUGGAAAAUUUAGAUUUUAAAAUAUUGAGAUUAUUUUUAUUCAAGUUGAAGUUAUAACUUCUUUUGAAUUUAAAUUAUUUGUAGUUAAGGUAAUUUUUUAUUAAAUUCAUUUGGGUAGGUUAGUUCUUUUUUUUUUUGAAAUGCUCGACUGGAUUUUAAACAAAUAAAACAAAGUUUGCCUCUCACUUGGACAUUGGACCAAGGACCAGGCCUUAAAAUAAAGCAAAUAAUAUAAGAUAAACAGGCCUAGAAGACUAAAAUCCCUAAUUGGCCCCCAACAAGAUGGCCUAACUAAACCAAACUUAAAAAAUCAAAACUAAUAAAAAUCUACUCUAGAAAAUUCCAGCCCAAAGAAGACAGCUGUAUCCCAAAAAAUAUUUUGGCUUUCCAAUGCUCCUGCACAGCUCAUAAUAGCAGAUUCCUUCAAAUCCCAUAAGAUCUUUAACCUUCUGUUACACAUUUCCAUUUGACUGUUUCAUUUCAUCAGUCUGGAGUCCGUGGUCUUCUCCUCUCCAGUAUUCGCCGAACAUGCUCAGGAACUCCUCCUUCCAGGUAAUGGCCUUCAUUUACUUUCAACGCUUCCUUUACAAUCACAUGAGCAAAAAAAGUUUUCUGACUUUGGAAUAUGAUGGAAGUUUAGUUUUUGGUAGAAAUGCUUUAUCUCUUGAAUAUUUCUUAUUAUAGCUCCAAUAAUUGAAUUAUCUCUGUCUAUGUUCUGGCAUUUUUUUAUAACAGUUCUUGAAUCUUCAUUUAUGUCGCAUUCAUGAAAACCCAAUAAAAUUCCUAACCUUACUGCUUUUUCUCCUGCAUGUGCUUCCGCCGCAAACGGAGAGGCAACAUUUUCAUGAAUGACCGAUUUUGAGACCAAAAUAUCCCCUUGCAUGUUUCUAACUAGCAACCCUGAUGCGGAUUUGAAGAGUUGUUGAUCGAAAGCCCCAUCAAAAGAAAUGACUACCCUCGUUCGCCGAUCUUCAUGAGUAAAAACCCUUCCUUUAUCAGAGAUAAAUAGUUUCUCUUCUAAGCUUUGCAACUUUGAAAUAUAAUUGCUUAUUUGUCGUGAGAUCUCUCUGCUUGUUCUAUCUUUACUCUCAUAAAGCAAUUGAUUCCUGUUUGACCAGAUAAGCCAAAGCCCGUAGCAAAAUAGUCUGCACAGGUAAACCACUCCCAAAUGCUCUGAAUAUUAUUAUUAAGCACCAAGAGAAAUCUAAGUACUCCCAAACUUCCGUCGUUAUAAGACACAUUCUGAAAACAUAAUUGCUAUCCUCCUCAGACUGCCGACAUUUGGGACAUCAGACUUUAUUUGUAACUCGCCUCAAUUUAAGAUUAGCAAGCGUAGGGAUAUAAUUCCAGGAAAUUUUCCAGAUUGUAAUUUUAAUUUUCAAAGGGAUGUGUAAAUCCCAUAGUUUUCUGUAGAAAGUUGCAUUUUCGGCCUGUAUAAUAUUAUUACCAGGAAUCCGAGUAAUCUUUUGUAAUAGUUUAUAGGCAUUUCUAACCAAAAAGAUGCCUGAUGGUUCUCUACCCCAAACUUGGAAAUCAUCAUGUACAGACCUUGCCAAAGGGAUCAGCAGAAUGUUCUUUGCAAUACCCGCAUCAAAGGUAUUAAAAAUUAGAUCCGCUUUCCAUGUUCUACUUUCGUCCUCAAUCAAAUCAGAGACUAAUUCAAUAUCUGCAUUUCCUCUUUGAUGCUGUAACGUAUUCUCUUCAUAACCCGGUAUCCAAAGAUCGUCCUAGAUAGAGAUACUAUCCCCCUUACUGGUUCUCCAGCAUAAGCCUUUUUCCAGCACUUUUCUAGUUGACCAGAUACUUCUCCAAGUAAGUGAAGUUAGGUUCCCUAACCGUGCAUUUAAAAAUCUGUCGACAAAUAAUACUUGGCUUUUAAAACUCGAGCUAACAACGAAUCUGGAUAAGUAAUUAAAGGCCAACCCUGCUUAGCUAGUAACGCGAUAUUAAAUUUGUCAAACUCUCGGAAUCCAAUACCUCAUUCCUCCUUGAAAGAACAUAAAUCCCUUAAUGCACACCAAUGAAUGUCUUUCUUAUCCCUGCUUUUUUGCCACCAGAACUUUGCUAUUAAUCUCUCCAAUUCCGUACAAAAGGAUUUAGGAAGUAGAAAGCACGACAUAGAAUAAGUUGGAAUGGAUUGAAGAACCGCCUUAAUAAAAACCUCCUUUCCUCCUUGAGAAAGAUGUUUAACACUCUAAUUAUCUAUUCUUUGUUGCAAUCUAUCUUUCAAGUUUUGGAAAGACGCUUUCUUCCUCCUCCCCACUAAAUUAGGUAAACCCAAGUACCGUUUAGGAUCAGUUGAGCAAUGUACUCCAAGCACUCUAGUUACUAAACUUAUAUCCCUUUUUUGAGUAUUGGCACUAAAGAAAAUAGUAGAUUUUGAAUAAUUAACCUUCUGCCCCGAACAACCUUUAUAUUCGUGCAAAAUCUGCUUUAAUGAAAUCGCCCCUCUUUCUGUAGCCUCGCCGAACAGAAUGCAAUCAUCCGCAAAUAAUAAAUGUGAAACCUGUGGACCGCUUCUGCUUGCCUUAACUCCGCGAAGAAUUUUCUUUUUCAUUGUUGGUCUCAUAAGACUAGAUAGACCCUCCCCACAAAAUAGAAAUAAAAAUGGACUCAAGGGAUCUCCUUGUCUAAGGCCCCUAGAAGGAUUGAAAGUAGAACCACUAAAUCCAUUAAACACUAUCGAGUAAGAAACUGUAGUAACACAUCUCAUUAGUGAAUCAACCUAAUCGGGGUCAAAUCCCAUUUUCUUCAUUACCCUUUCUACAAAACUCCAUUCGAUGCUGUCAUACGCCUUACUCAUGUCCAAUUUUACUGCUAUAAAGUCUUUUUUCCCGACUCUUUUGUGCUUCUUUUGUGCUUCAGAGUAUGUAGAAGUUCAUAAGCUAGAAUCACAUUAUCAAAAAUCAAUCUCCCUGGCAUGAAAGCACUUUGUGCUGAAUCAAUACACUUGUCUAUCACAGAUUGGAGACAAUUAGCAAUAACUUUAGCUAUCAAUUUGUAUAAUACAUUACACAAACUAAUAGGACGAAAGUACGUAAUAUUAGAGGGAUUCACAAUUUUUGGGAUUAGCAUAAUAUUUGUCUUGUUAAUUGAGCUUGGAUCCGUACCUUCAUUUAACAAAUUGAGCCAAUAAGACAUGACAUCUUUUCCAAUAAUUAACUAGCAUUUCUGGUAGAAUAGUGCUGGAAAACCAUCCUUACCUAGUGCUUUUGUUGGUCCCAUUUCUUUCAACGCUACAUAAAUCUCUUCCUUUGUAUAUUCAGCCUUGAGUUUUAAAUUGUCCUCCUAAAAAAUGCAACGAUCAAUACUUGAAAAAGUGUGAUUAUAAUUUCGUCUCCUUCCAGCUAGAAACAACUGCUGAAAAUACGAUCUGGCUAUCUUUUCCAUUUCUUCAAUAACUUCAGUUUCCCUGCCGUCGUUAUAUUGUAACUUGCGGAUAUAGUUCUUUCUCCACCUUUGCGUUGCCUGCCGUCGUUAUAUUGUAACAGUACCCAAACCUCUUUUCCGGUAAGAUUUUCGGGGACGAAAAUCCCUAAGGGGGGAGAGUUGUAACAGCCCGAUUCUGGGCCUAGUCGGAAUAGUGGUUUCGGGACCACAAAUCCGACGAGGGAAAAUAUGGUUAUUAUUAUAUUUUUAUGAUCUACAAUUUCACGGAAAAUUUUCGUAAAAAUUUCGUUCGAAAAUUUCGACGUUUGGGCACUCAAUUUAGUCAAAAGGACUAAAUUGUAAAUAGUGCAAAAGUUGAGUUCUAUAUGUAAAAGUAUCUAAUUGAUAUGAAAUUUUAAAUUGGAGGUCUUUAUGUGGUAAUUAGACCAUUAGUUAGUUGAUGGACAAAAAUAGACAUAAGAAAUGAGAGAAAUAGAUUUUUUUUAAGUGGGGGCAUAUUAGUCAUUUGGUAAUAAAAAAAAUAAAAUGGGAAAAAGAUGACAAAAAUCAUCAUCUUCCUCAUUAGUUGCUGCCGAAAUUUGAAGGAAGCCAUAGCUAAGGUUUCUUUGCUUUCUCAAGCUCAUAGUAAGUGCAUCCUAGCCCCGUUUUUAAUGUUCUUCGCAUUUUUGGAAUCCUCGUAACUCGGUUUAGCUUAUUCUAGCAAUAAUUCGUGUUAGGGCUCAUAUUUGGAAAAAUACCCAUAGGUGAAAUGUGUUUAUUUUGCUGUUUUAUGGUGGAAUAUGAAGCUAUAAAUUAUGUUAAACAACUUUUGCUAAGCGAUUUUAAGCGAAAACGGGUAAAUAGGCAUAAUCGGUAAAAAUAAUUAUUGUUCAUAAGUGUAUGUUAGAGUGAGAAUUUGAUGUUGCCAUAGAAGGGGAAAAUGUUCAGCAUGUCAUAAAACCUAAGAAUAAGUGAUGAAGUUUAAUUUCCGAGCUUGGGGACAAAAGUGUAAUUAUGCAAAAGUUUGGGGGCAAAAUUGUAAUUUUUCAAAAAGUUGGGUGGUGGAUUAUUUUAAUGAAUGUGAACAUUAAAUGAGUUAAAUUUGCUAUUAUAGAUCAAGAAAGACGUGAAGAUUAUCUCAAACGAGGAAAAGAAAAGAUAGUGGAGUGAAGUGCAAUAUUACGAUAUUUUGCACCGAGGUAAGUAAACACGUGACUUGAUGUAUUAUUUUGACAUUAAUUGAUAUAUGUUGAGAUUUAUUUGGAAUUAAAAUAAAUGUUUGGCCAUAUCCUAAAAAUGUUGUUAAAUCGGGAAAGGUGGUAAAGGGUUGCAAUAUAUGAUUUAUGGGUUGAACACUCGGAAUAAGCCGAAGUAUGUUGUACAUAAAGGGGUUGCUGUGUGCUGAUUCCCCGAUUCAUUGGUGGUGCUAUGUGCGAUAUCCACCGUAUCUUUGAAAUGUGAAAGGGGGUUGCUAUGUGCUGAUUCCCCCGAGGGGUUGCUAAGUGCUGAUUCCCCAGUUCAUUGGUAGUGCUAAGUGCGAUAUCCACCGUAUCUCUGAAAUAAAGAGGGGGUUGCUAUGUGCUGAUUCCCCCAAGGGGUUGCUAAGUGCUGAUUCUCCGAUUAAGUGGUGGUACCCUCGCCCAUUGUUCCCAAUACCUCUCAUCCUUUUCAAUCUCAAAAUUAACAUCCACCUUUGUAUCAAUUAGUUCUGCUAGAUUUUCAUCGCUUUUAUCUUCUUCUAGCAAUUUUUUCAGCUUUAAAUGCAACAUCUCUUUCUUUGCUUUCCUACUAUAUCGAAUUUUAGCCGCCCAUUUCUGCAACCCUCUUCUAACACACUGCAACUUGUUUAAUAGGUCUCCUGAAGAAUUUUCCCAAAUACUCUUCACUUCACCAAUAAAUGAUUCCUCCAGCACCCACCAUGCUUCAAAUUAAAACCUUCUCUCCAUGUGCCUCGAAUAUUCGGAUUUAGUAUUUAUGAGCAAUAGACAGUGAUCGAAAAAGGAAUGUGAUAGAUGACGAACUUGAUAAUCGAGAAAUAAAACAAGCCAGCUGUCAGUAGCUACCCUUCUAUCUAGCUGUUCUUGAAUAUUAGUCUCUGGAAAUUACCUCUCUCCCAUGUGAACCAAUUCCCAGAAAAGCCCAUAUCAAUUAAAUUGCAAUCCUCCAACACCCUUCUAAAAGCUUCCAUUCUUCCUUCCUCCCGUGAUAAGCUUUCCUUGUCUCACAUCUGUACAUGAUCUCGUUAAAAUCCCCACUUACCAGCCAUGGAAGUUCCCCAGCUUCACACAAUUGUCUUAAAAGAUCCCAUGUUGCAUCUCUAUCUUGGUGAUAAAGAGAUCCAUAAAAUCCGGUAAAUCUCCAUUUAGUACCUUUCUCCAUAUCAUCUAUUAUCACAUCAAUAUGGCUAGUCGAAAAGCUUUGAAGUAAAACACUGAUAUCCCCUUUCCAUGCUAAAUACAAUCCUCCACUUGAACCAAUUGAUCCAACCUCAAUCCCAUUGAAAAAAUCGCAACUUCUUUGAACCUUUUCCAUGUGACUCCUGUCAAUUUUUGUCUCCAUAAAGAAGACCAUUUGGGGAUUAUGUAACUUCAACGUGUGUCGAAGUCUUCAAACUGCCUGCUGGCUCUCCAAACCGCGGACAUUCCAAUUUAAUAUUUUCAUUGUGCCCUGUCGGUUUGCCUCUUGGCAGUCGCCAAUAAUAAAUGUGUGGAAUCCUUUAUAACCUUAGUUCUCACAUCCAUACAGUUUCCUUCUUCUCUUACUGUUAAUCCUUCACUAUCCCCUCUUUUUCGUUUUUUACCUUCAUCCCCCAUUAGUACCCUAUCCUCAAAAUCAUGAUCCAUUGCAUUAAAGCUAUCCACCAUCCCUAAAUUUUCACCUUGAGGAUGGGAUUUAUACAGUCUCCCCUCUAAAUUUAUUCCCAAAAUGGGAUCUAUAUUGCUCCUAAUUCCCAUUUUCUUCUUGGGAAUUCUCAGCAUACCCCCUAUCAUUUGACUUCCCUCCUGAUUUCCGCCGAUACUUCCUCCUCAUCAUCAUGUAACCAAACACUUUUCAUAGCCAAAGCCCUUCGAGAUUGAGCCCGCAGCGUUAAAUCCCAUCCCAUUUCUGCAACUUCCACCCCUAAUGCCAUUUUUGCUUCACAAAAUAAAUCGCUAUGCCCUAAACGACCGUAAUAAAAACAAAACAGUGAUAAACGUUCAUAUUUAAAUCGAACAUAUGAACACUGGCCAUUAAACAUAAGCUGUUUCUUUCUUCUCAAAAGCUGACGUAUAUCCACUUGAAUUCGUAUCCUCAUAAAAUUACAAUUCUCUUUCCCUAACAUAGAAUUGUCAUACUCUAUAAAAAACCCUAUAAAAUUCCCAAGUUGCACCGCCAAAUGUUCAGCGAAAAAACCAAAAGGAAUAUCAUGGAUCUGAACCCAAAAGGGUGAAAAAAUUAAAGGGACAUUCAAUGGGUCUUCCUCGCUUUGCAGCUUAUGUAACAGCAGUAAAUGUCUGUUAAAGGUCCAUGACAAACCCUUUAAGACCCUUUCCAUGUCCAUAAUAUGAAAAAAUUGAAACAAUUACCUUUUUUCCCCCAGAUCUCGAAUUUAAACACCACAGACAGGAUACCACAAAUUUGCCAUGGUAUUUUUCAUUCCUGGAAAAUGGAUGACACUAGCUGUUAAAAAGCAACCCACCAAUUGGAAAAAUCCCCUCACCCUAUAUGUGUUUGUUUCUGCUUGAAUUUGCAAAACCUCAUCUUUCUCCUCAUUAAUCGAAAGUUCAGCAAAAUUAGAUUCCAUAAUCAAGACUCACGUUCAGUAGCUAUUGUAUUUUCCAAAGAAAAAUAGAUAGCAGCAGGGCAACUGCUAGAGAUAGCAGACAGAGACGUGCUAGAGAUAGCAGACCUAAAUAAAGAGAUUAGGUUAGUUCAUUAAAUAAGGUAGAAUUAUUAUCUUUUUAUGUUGAAAUAAAAUUAUAUCUAAUUUAAAUAUAUAUUAAUUAAAUAGUCCAACAUAAGUAAAAUUCUUAGUUAAAUUUAUUUGUGAAAUAUUUUGAAAUAAACAAAAUACUUACUCGAUAGCUAUGUUUACUUGAAUUUAACAUAAAAGUUUUAACAAUUUUUACAAUUAAAUUUAUAUUUUUAAACUCGAAAAGUGAAAAAUAGAUAAUUAAAAUCCUAACAAUAGAAGUAAAGAGACCAAAUUUUAAAUAUAUGAAGAUUACAGGUACUUAUAAAGAUUUUAAACUUUUUUUUUAAUUAACUCAUUUUCUUUCUCUCUAUUGACACCAAACCACACUAUAACUACAGGGAAUUAGGAAAAGCAAAAAUUCUGUAUUUAGCUCCUUGAAAAUUCGCUACGUUUUCUCCCAUAUUAUAUGCUCUGCUCUGCUCGCCAGUUCCCAGUCUCUCCAUGAAAGAACCUUCCCUCUCCCUUUAUCCUCUCUAAACUUCAUUCCAAUCCAACCCCUUUUUUCUCUCUUGUUUUUUCAUUACUAAAUCGACUAAGGAACCUUUUUUUUUGGGUUCUUUUUGAAAAGCAAAACUCCCGAGCAUUAAUGGAGAAAAAGCAAGGUUUUUUCUCAGCUCUCAAAGAGGAAGUAAUUCGUGGGCUUUCACCUUCCCGCUCGAGGACCAACAGCCCCGGAAGAGCCCGGUCACCUAUUGCCAUUCUGUUGCGGAGAAAGAAAAGCGGCCACUACAACUACGGAGGCGCUUACCUGGUACAACCGGAGCCCUUGAUCGCGAGGUACGGUGUCGGGGAAGCGUUAGCUCCGCUCAUGGAAGGUCCCGACCCGGACGGAGGCGAAACCGGGGAUUCCAAGAGGCUUGGGUUGGGGCUAGGACAAUGGGUUAUGGGACAGUUAUCGAGGACUCCAUCCAUGGCUUCCUUGAGUUGCAAAAGGUCCGAUCUAAGGCUGUUGCUCGGGGUCAUGGGCGCACCUUUGGCUCCUGUUCAAGUUUGCUCCACUGACCCUUUGCCUCACUUGAGCAUCAAAGACACUCCCAUUGUUAGUACCCUUCCGCCCCCCCCCCCCCCCCCGGUCUUCUUUAGCUUAUAAUAGACUUAAAAAAGAACAAAUGAACUUCUGGGUGUUUUUUUUCUGCUUAUGAUGGUUUGAAUGGCGACUAAAGUAUUUAUCAUUUAUAGUAUUUUAUUUGUAAUGUUCUUGUAUUUUUCUUUAAGCUUCUUCUAUGGUCUAUGGAUCCAUUUUAUUAAAUCAUGGUUUUCAAACUGUGGUUAGCAAGAAACUUGAGUAAAAACUCCAUUUCUUUGCGGUAUGGUGCAGGAAACGUCCACUGCUCAGUACAUAUUGCAGCAGUAUACAGCUGCUUCCGGUGGUCUGAAGCUGCAAAACUCAGUCCGGAAUGCGUAUGCGAUGGGAAAACUGAAAAUGGUAGCUUGUGAGUACGAAACUGCUGCGAAGACGGUUAAGAACCGAUAUGGCUCCAGAGGUGCGGAGUCCGGUGGGUUUGUGCUCUGGCAAAUGAAUCCGGACAUGUGGUAUGUUGAACUUGCGGUUGGGGGCAGCAAGGUUCAUGCUGGCUGUAAUGGGAAGCUUGUAUGGAGGCACACACCUUGGCUUGGAGCUCGCACUGCAAAGGGGCCUGUUAGACCCUUGCGUCGUGCACUUCAGGUGAGGUCUCCUAUGCUUAUCAGCAGCUGAAUAUUGGCUCUUCGGUUAUAUUUCUAGCAUUACUGGCUUUCUGAUUCUCUCUUUGUGCUUCACUAUUCCUAAAUCAGGGUCUUGAUCCGAGAACUACAGCUAGUAUGUUUUCUGAUGCAAAAUGUAUAGGAGAGAAGACAAUUAAUGGUGAGGAUUGCUUCAUCCUCAAGCUCUGUACCGACCCCCAGACAUUGAAGGCAAGGAGUGAAGGCCCUGCGGAGAUCAUUAGGCAUGUCUUAUUUGGCUACUUUAGUCAGAAGACCGGGCUUCUGGUUCACAUGGAGGAUUCACAUUUGACUCGUAUUCAAUCCAACGGUGGCGAUACUGUUUACUGGGAAACCACAAUCAAUUCAUAUCUUCAUGAUUACCGACCUGUCGAAGGUAUCAUGAUAGCACAUUCUGGCCGUUCUGUCAUUACACUUUUCAGGUUCGGGGAAGCUGCAAUGAGCCAUACGAAAACAAGGAUGGAAGAAGCUUGGACGAUCGAGGAGGUUGCCUUUAACAUACCAGGCCUUUCUGUUGAUUGUUUUAUCCCUCCAGGUGAUUUGAAAUCUGGAUCCAUCAGUGAAACCUAUGAACUACCUCAGGACGAAACAGGGACGAGUGCGAUCGCCUUAUCAGCAUAUCAUGCCAAAGUUGCUGCACUCGAGAGGGCACAGGAUAAUUGGCUGACAGUAUGAUUUGCAGGAUACAAGUCUGAAGAAGUGUAGAAUUCACAACUUAGCAAGUGCUCAAAUUGGUAGCUAGUUCAGUUGACUAAUCCAUUAGAAGUUAAAAAAAAGAAGAAGGUAGAAGUCAAUUUUUGGACUUCAGUGUUACGCCUCUAUUAAUCUGUAAAUAGAGCAUAAUGAUUCAUAUCGGGACCUCUAUGAAUCUUUAUACUCUCAAUGCAGAAUCCAACUAUGGAGAGUUGGAGCUCGGUUUUUCCAAUUAGGGAUAGAGCUAAUGGAGGUUGGUUUUUAGUUUACCUGGCUUUGAUGGUAAGUAGCAAAGCUGCCCCAUCGACCCUUUUAUUUUUUCUAUAGUUAUACUAACUAUAUAUAGUAUGGCAGCAUAAAGGAUGCUGCCAGUUUAACAGUAAUGUCUAGGUUUUUUUAUUUUUUUUGAUGUUACAAAUUCUGGAUUUGUGAUUCAAAGUGUGAUGAUUUGGGUUGAAAGUUGUUUUGGGGGGGUUUGAGAGAAGGGAAAGAGAUUUUGCCAUUUUUGUGGAAAUGGUGAUAAAUAGGCAUAAUGGUAAAUGAGAUGGAACUAACUAUAUUUCUUACCUUCUGAAAGUUAUUCAAUGCUUUUGAUGAAUAUACAGUGAUCCCCAUAUUUCCUUCAUUCUUUUCUGAGUUUUAAUACGUGACUUGUGAAUGCCCAGAUUAUCUUUGUACUACAAGUGACGACACUCGAACCCUAAUGCUGUUGUUAGGGUGUUAAUAAGAACUUUGGUUGAACCACCAUAUCUUUAAGAAUAUACUUAAUCUUCCUACACCAAGUAGGCAGCAAUAUCUAAGGUUAUCUUUGACCCAUCACUGCCAUUGGAACCCUUUAAGGCUUGAGUGUGUCCCCUUGGUGGGGUGUCCAAAGCUGUUUUUAGUCAGACAAGCCAACAUAUUUUUGAAGCAAUGCAAAGCCCCACCUUUGACCACAGGUGUAAUGUGGGGUUAGGUUGGUUCAGUGGUGUGAAGUUGUGGUAGCAUCGUUCAAAGCUAAAAAAGCUAAGCACGAGAUGAAAGUUCCUCAAAACCCCCAUGUGAUUCUUCAUUCUUUUGCUUUUGCUUUGAUUCCUUUGCUUAACUGUUUUAACAGAUCUUUUUACCUGCUUUUGCCAACUUAUUUAUUUAUUUAUUUCGGUCUUUCUUCAUCUUUACUCUCUAAGAUAUAUAUAGGUGCUGAGGGUAGGGAAAGUUCCAACUCAUCCCAUGUUUUCUGAAAAGUCAAUCUAUCUUUCUUUUACUCCAUUUUCUUUUUCAGGAGCCACAGAGGACUUCUCUCUAUAUGUAAAAUCAAGUCAUAAAAUUUGGGCAUAUUUUAAUAAAUGCAUUAUAAUAUAUUUUUACUAAAAUGUUUUUCUUUUAAUUUUACAGGUAUUAUAUCUAUUUUGAUUAAAUUUUAUCAUUAUAGAUGGCUUGAGGAGUUUUUUUUUUUUUUUUUACUUUACCGAUGGUGUACAAGACAAUAAUUCAAAAUAAUAAAUAUAAAAUAAGAAAAAAAUACUAUAUAUGUAUUUGUAUUAAGAGUUGAAUUUUAUUUUAUCCUCUCUACUCAAAAAAUGGGUUAAUUAGUCAUGUAUGUUAGAUCAAAGAGCAAAUUGAUCUUUUUGUAAAAUAUUCUAUCCAUUCUUGCUACUAAUAAUUGGUCCAUAGACUAAUUUACUCUUUCAUCUAAUGUACAAGAAUUAAUUUAUCCGUUUUUUAAGUAAAGGUAGCAAAAUACAAUGUGACUUCUAAUAUAAGAGUUUUCAUGGUACUUCUAUUAUAUAAAACAUUAUAAUAUUAUGUAAAAUAUAAAGUUGAGUUGGGAUGUUUUUUUUUUUCAAGAAGUUGGAGGGCAGGUGGAUUGAAGAAAUCAUUUUGGGGUCGGAAUUGGAUGCUAUUAAUUUUGAGUUUAACUUGUUUAAUUUGGUUGACAUCCAUAUUUUUAUCAGUACGAGAAGACGUAGAUUUGAGUGCGUUGUAGUCCAUUAACCUUUUCCCUUAAAAACUUAGCUGUAAAGUAAUUGACAAAACAAUUUACUUACAAUAAAUUUGCACUAGAAUAAUUUCUUGACUUAAACAAAAUAGGUUCUCUUAAUCUCAAGAAUUCUGUUAAAUUGGUGUUUAAUGGCUUGCAAAAGUACAACUAAGGUGUUCAAAUUUCGGUUAAAAUCGAAUGAACCGACCGAAUCGAACUAAUUCGGUUGAUCUGUCAGUUAACCAAUCUAAUUCGAUCAGAGGGUGGUUAAUGGUUUCUUGGAAGUUCGAUUAUCGGUUAAUUCUGGUUGAAAUCGGAUAAUUAACCGAAUUAACCGAACUUUUAAAAAACCAAUAUUAUAUAUUACCAUUUCGGUUAAGGGUUAAGGGUUUAAAAAUUUCGGUUAAUUCAAUUAAUGCUAGUUUGGUUUGGUUAAACGAUUGAGCACUCCUAAGUGCAAUUAAUGUAGAUCUCUCUCUUUUUUUCUCUAUUCAAAAAAUAGUCUUCAAUAAAGAAAAAAGUGGAAGAGAUAUUCUCGAUAUAAACUUCUUUAAAAAUAAAAUCUCUUUAAUUAUGGAAAUUUCGAUCACAUUGAAAGUAUUGAUAAAGUCCUUACUUUGACAUGAUUCUUAUACAAUUUGCCUUCACUAAUGCACUGCCAAAAAAGCCUUCCAAGAUGCUCAAUUAAAAACCCCAAUAGUUUUGAUCAAAAGAUGUCAACCAGUAUGAUAAGUUACAGUUGUUUGCCAAAUGCACGUUAAAUUACAACUGGAGUUGCACCUGACAUUUAUAACUAGCACUAACAAAUUAAUUGAGUGUAAAUCUUUGAUUGCCUUCACUAUGUGUAUACUCAAACAUAUAUGUUGAACAUACAUCCAAUAAUAACAAAAAUAACCAACAAGCUAUUGGUUUAGUAAUAACUUGUACGUGGGUUCAUGUGUUGACAUGCAUCUAGGGUUUAAUCCCUAUGAAAUCCCUUUCGGCUAAAAAAAGGGAAAAAAAAACGUAUACUUUAACAAUUUUUAAGGUAUCUACUAAUUAUUUCAUUUAAUUUUUUAAUACCCUUCAUUUGUGUAGAAGGUUCUUUAGUGGAGAGAGGAGGUGUUGCAAGCAAGUAAAUAGAAUGCAUCAGGAGUAGCUAGAGAGGAAGACUGGAGCAAAUCUUAUAAAUUGAGCGUAGUAAUAGGUGGGGGCUUAUAAUGUGGAAAAAGGUUGCACGUGGCUUAGAAUAAGACUAAGUAUGAGAAUAGUUUAAAAGAGUUUUAGAGAUAGUUUUGGGAGUUAGAAUACUAAAAUUGUUAAAAAGUCCUUUCACAAGUUGCAAAAGGCUUCUAUUUAUAAUGUCUAAAAAUAAGAGUAUUAAAUAGGGGUAAUGACAAAUAUUGUAAGUUAUAAAGGCAUUAAUAUCCUUUUAAUAAUAAAUAGUUUAGGCUUAAUGGUGAAGGGUAAAUAAGGAAUAAGAAUUCACUAUGUUUCUGAAAGAAAAGAGAGAAUCACAUAAUGUUAUAUGAAAAAGUUAAGAAGAAACCUUUUAACUACAUCCUUAUUUGAUCCACCAAAUCGAUCUUCGGAACAUCCUAAGAAUCUUGCCUUAUUUUGAGGUUAUUUCCACUUCUUCCGUUUUUGUGAAGUAAUACCUUGUGAAACAUUUUAUCUAGAACAUCACUUGAAAUGCAAGCUAUUCUUAAUGAAGAAUUCUUCUUGAAUGAGAGUUGUUCCUGAAUAAGGGUUAUUUUUACUUAUUCCAAAAGUGAAUUGUUCUCAACAUAGCCAUCCUUAGUAGUGGUUGUUUCAAGCAAGAAUCGUUUUGCAAUGAUGCUUUUCUUUAAAGAGAUUAUUUUGAAUAAUGACUCAUCUUUAAAAAAAAAAAAGAAAAAGAAACUCACAAUUGUUCUAAAUAGAAAUUGUUUUGAAUUAUGGAUAUUCUAAACAAAAAUUGUUUUGAACAUUAGUUGUUCCCAAAUGACAACUAUACUCACAGCUAUUUAAACUAGAGCUUUAUUCUGAACAUAGUUAUUUUGAACUAGCUAUUCUUAACGACGAUUAUUUUGAACAACAAUUAUUUUAAACAAAAAAUGUUCUUUCGGAAAAAGAAUUAAGUGAAACAAUAUUUUUACUUAUUCAUAGUUAACCUUUUUAUCAUCUUUGGGAGUGCAAUUCACCUUAUUACUCUGAAAAGAGAUAAAAGAUUAGUAGUAAAACUAGUAUCUACAUUUUUUUUGUCGUAAUCAAGGUAUCUAUCGCUAAUGGCAAUGACUAAUCCUCUUGCCAUGGGUGAAAACGAUUAGUCAUAAAAUGUUUUAUUCCCUUGAGCAGAGAUCGAACCCUCAACCGUAUAAUAAAGGAUGAGAUGAGCAAUCACCACACUAUUCCUCAUAAUUAAAACUAGUAUCUACAUUUUAUCUAUCUUAUGGUUUCUUUUUGUGUUUUUUUUUCCAUCUUCAUAAGUUGCAGCAGGAUAUUUAGGGAGUGUUGUUAAACUGGUGGACAUUGUUGAGCACUUCAAAAAUACAUGUGGAUAAUACACAAUAUAAUAUGCAAUAAAAGUUAGCAAUGUCAAUUCAUAUUAGAGUGUCGGCAAAGGAAAUUUGUACGUGAAAGUGGUAAAAACAUAGAUAUUUAUGAGAGUGAAGGGGUAAAAAAAACCAUAUUAAUGGCAGUGCAUGGUGGAGCAAUGGAGCAAGAGGGUAUCUCAGUUGACUUCAACGUACGUUGCUUUCAAUGGGGGGAAAGGGGAAACUUAAUUUAUUUUUAUUUUUGCUAAAAAUUUAUUGAAGAUGGUUAAGAAAAGGACAAUACGAGGGACUUGUACAACAUUGAUAAAAUCUAAUUGUUGCAACAUUCAUAAAAAUUUGUUUUGGGUAAGUGGUGGGAGAGUCUAUCACCUAUCCAUAAGUCGGGUUAUUGGUUUGAAGGUUACUCGAAAUACAAAGGGUUUAGAUAAAAAGACGAUACUCACAAAAUGAGUUUCGGCAAAAAGUAGGCUGAUUAAAAAUAAAGACUAGACCUAAACUUUAAUAUUUAAGGCUCGAACUUAGCUCGACCCACCCAUUCUAUACUUUUGUAUUAUAUUUUUAUUUUAUGUAUAUAUUAUGUAAAUUAUAUCACAUGAAAUUAAAUAUAUAUCUAUGAUAAUACAAUACUAGGUAACAUUAUAACAAAGAUGUCUAAAUUUAAAUUUUUAAUAAAAAAACCAUAUAAAAUAUAAAAUAUUAAAUUAAAAAUAAUAUAUUUUUUAAAAAAAUAAUAUGAACGUGCCUAAAACAGAUUUGGAUUAACCAUUUAUAAAUCUAGGAAAAUUUAAACUAAAUUUUAGACACAUAUUUAGAGUCAGGUCGAACCAAGCUUAGACAAAUAUAAAAUGUGUUAAUAUUAUACAAUACUUGACUCACCCAUAAACACCUCUAACCUUUACUAAUUGAAAUUUGGGAAACUAUUGAGUUGCAUUUUAUAUAUUUCACAAGUAUGCAGGCUAGGUUUUGGGUUGGUGGCAUCCAUGGUUGAAGGUUUGGAAAUUUUAAAAUAUCAAGUUUGAGUCUUAAUUUAUAUAAAUCAUAUUUAGAUUUUUAGUUUAGAUUUGUUUUGAAUCUGAUAUAAACGCAUAUAUUUAACUAAUUUUUGUUUCGAAUAUAUUUUUGUUAUCAGUUCAUUUAUACAUUGUAAUGAUUGAUUUUGAUCGUAAUGAUAUAAACGUAUAUAUUGUAAAUAUAAGUAUAACUUUUAAGAUUAUAUAUAUUUAACUAAUUUUCUUCUAUGUAAAAUGCACAAAUUAAUUAUAUGUAUUAUUUUUAUUGCAUUACAUUAUUUAUUUACAAAGUUUUGAUAUUUCUUAGUAUUAAGUAUUUUUUUAAUUAAUGUCUACCACAUUGCAUAUUGAGAAGUUAUCAUAUGUCAAUAUAAACUAACGAUGUUAAUACGAAGAUACCAACUAGAAUAUAUACGCAUAUAUACAAAUAUGUAUUGUAAUGAUUAAUUCUGAUCGUAAUGAUAUAUAUGCCUAUAUUGUAAAUAUAAUUUAGACGUGAAGUAUAGAUGGAUAUUUAAGAGAGUAAAGGGAGAAAAAUCCCAUAUUAAUGGCAGUGCAUGGUGAAGCAAUGGAGCAAGAUAGUAUCUCAGUUGACUUGAACAUGCAUUGCUUUCAAUGAGGGAAAAGAGGGAAACUUAAUUUCUUUUUCUGCUACAAAUUUAUUGGAGAAAGAUGGUUAAUAAAAGGGACAAUAAGAGGGACUAGGACCAGAUUGAUAAAAUAUAGUUGUUGCAACAUUCAUAAUAAUUUCUUUUUGGGGAGACACCGUGGUUGAUUGAAAUAUGGGAAAUUAUUUUGUAAUAGUGUUGAAGUUUUUUAAAUUUCACAUGUAUGUCAAUGAGGUUUUAGCUAGAUGGCAUGGUCGAGGUUUUGAUAAUUUAAAAUUCUCAAGUUUGAAUCUCACGUUGUAUAAAUUAUGUGUAAAAUUUCAGUUUAGAUUUGUUUUUUACAUUUGAAUAUGUAAAAUUAAAUUAUUUGUAAGCACCAACUCCCUCAUAGACAAUCAUGGGGCUUUAGAUGGGCCUAAAAGUCUCAAAGUCAGCAGGCUCCAUACGCGUCAACUUAGUGGACCCACAUCACUCAAGAACUUGGCCCAUGCAUAUGAUUCAAAAUAAUAGUAUUGUUGUUGGGUCCAAAACCAAAUAAAGCUAAAACUAUGUUGCCUAAAUUAAAUAACUCCUACAAAAUCAUAGAUCAAUAUAGAAAAGAUGUAGAAUAUGCUUCGCAUUUUGGUUAAAUUAAAACACAAAUAGAGAGUGACGUCGUGAUAAGGAGUUUUGGAUGUCGCGACGACACCAUAGGGGACAUUGCAAUUUUCUUGAUUUUCUUCUUCCAGUCAAAUUCUGAUUAUUUGUUCUAGUCGAACUCUAAUUAGUGUAGAUUAUUUUAAGAUUAUUUGACUUACGAAUUUAGCCUAUAAAUAGGCCCUUUUUUCUACCCUAGAAAGAUUAACCCAUAACACAUUUAAGUAUUAGCUUUUACAAGCUUUCUGAGAAUUUUAUAUUUAAGUUUUGAGAGUUCUUAUUUUCAGGUUUCGGGAUUUAGCUUUUAUCUCCAUCUUUAUACUCUUCGUUUUUGCCGAUUUAGUGAAUUAUCUUUGCCUGUGGUUUUUACCCUCUUCGGAGGGGUUUUUUCACGUAAAAUUUGUGUAUUCGAUCUUUUCAAUUUUUUCGUUAUUUUUCUUGUUCAUUGCUUAUACAAGUUUAUCCCCAACAGAAGAGGUCAUUGUCAUCAUUUAAAGCAGAAUCACAUCUUAACCUAACUUAAACUUGAUAAACACAAACUCAAAAAUAGAAAUUUGAUUUCAUAAAUUUGAUAUUCCAAGCUUGAUACUAAAUAAUCAAUACCUACAAAAUACUUAAAAACAAAAAAAAAAAAAGAUAAUCAAUCUCCGCUUCAUCUCACAAGACACAAAGUUUUCAAAGCAAAAUCAAAGAUUCGUUACAAGAUCUAGCCAAAACAUCAAGUAAUGAUCCGAUCAAAAUUCCAUCAAAGAAAUAUUAUUUACAAUUUCAUUAUAUUACUCAAAGAAAUGCUCUCACCACUCCCAUUCAAGGACAGCCAAAAUGUCUCUAAACAUUAACUCAAAACAAGAUCCAAAGAAGAAAGUUGAAGAAUAAAAGAGAAGUUGUGACUAACCCUCUUAAAUCGCUUUAAGCCAAUCAAUUAUUACAUUUAGCUUUAACUACCCAAGUUAUCCAACACAUUUAUUUUGAUAGGAAUAAUACUCAUAAGGACUUUAAAAUAAAGUUGUAAUCAUUAAUUUCAAUUACUUUAUUUUCAUCAUGUGGUAGACAUUAUAACCAUGCCAUUGCCAACAACAUCCACAUGGUACCAUGGUCACAUCUCCCCAUUGCCCACCCAUACAUUCAUGGUUCCAUUUUAACUACCCUUUCCAUGACAUCUAUACAACUAUAUAUUAAAGGCACUAAAGCUUUUCAAUUCUAAUUUUUUUUUUUUUUACUUUUUAGAUUAUAAGAAUGGGUAAUUUCCAAUAUGAUCCCUAUAUUUUAUUUAAAUUUAAGAUUUAAUCUAUAUACUUUAAUUUUGACAUAAUUUAAUAUCUCAAUUUUUAUAAUGCCAUUAGUUAGCCUAAAUAUUUUAUUCUAAUUAAAAUGAUUAAUAUAUGAAUUUUUAAGAAUUGUUAGCACUCUUAAAUUUUUUUAUUGAAUUUAUGUCUGUUACAAUGUUUUUUUUUGUUACAUGCAUACCAAGUUUAUUUUAUUUUUUCAAAAUGCCUAACCAACACAAAAGAAUUUUAACAGUAUUAACAAAUGGACCUAAAUUUUUAAAUUCGAAAAGCAGAGAAACUAAAUUCCUGAAAAUAAAAAUAUAAAGAUUAAAUUCUAAAUAUAUGAAUAAUAAAAAAAUUUGAACAGAUUGUAACCUUUAAAGUUUUACGCUAUAAUUUAAUUAAAAAAUAAAUAACUUAAUUGUACCCUUUGGACAAUAAUUUGAGCAUACCUUCAAAAUUGCUCAAGAUUAAAUGUUGACAUUUUGACUUGAUCUCCAUAAUUGUUUUCUUAUAAGCAAAUAAAUGGUGGUCGAAUUUGGAUGAUUGAAGGAACUAUGAGAUCAUCAUGCCCUUAUCCAUUAAGGCUUACCCUCAUCCUUAUUCUUUAAACAUUAUCUUAUGAAUUAUGCUGAUGAAUUUUCUUAUAUAAGAUUGUAUUUUGAGAUGAAUUUUGGAGGUUUUUAUCUCAAAUUAUUAUGCAUUAAAUUGGUGAUUUUAUCUCCACAAAAUCUGCUAAGAGGAGACUUUUUUACUAGUUUAUAAAUAGACUGCUACUUCCUCGUUGAGUUAUUUGGGUGUAUUUAGACACUCCUUGUUCUUUUGUACUAGCAUAUAAAUACAGUGUUGAUCAGCUUCCUCAUUUAAUACUGUAUGUAAUGUGAGUUAUUUGGAGAGAUUAAUUUGUUUGCAGCUACAAUUAUUAUUGCGAGAGGUUAGAUUGGGCUUUUGCUAAUAGUUAUAUCGGAUUAACUGUUGAAUAAAAUUAUUCUUUGAAUGAAGCUUGCAAAUAGGAUUUGUGAAUCCAUAUUGAUUCUUUAUUUACUUAUCUUUUGUCUCAUGUUUUGAAUUUGUGUUUAUUUCUCUCUUUAUUUUACUUCUUUUUUUAAUGUGUUUAAAAGGUUUUCUUCGAACUUCUAUUCAAUCAUCUAUUUGAAUAUUAAAUUAAAUGUUGAAUGAUAAAAAAACCCGAAAAAACAAUUUAAAAAAAAAAAAGAAUGAUGAGAGAAGGAAGUAGGCAGCCACCAACACAAAAUCCCAUACAAAAAGAAACAAUAGAAGUCCCUCCAAUACAAAUGAAAAAUAUAAAAGCUCCCCUCAAAAAAAAUCUCCCAAAGAAUACAAAUAUAUAUAAAUAAAUGUAAGCUCAAAUAUGCAUAGUAAAAAGCCCCAUCAAAGAGACUUAAGCCAGUAACAAUAUAUAAUGGAAAUUAAAACACUGAAAACAAAAACCAUAGCUAAGACACAAGUGGUGAAGAAAAGACUUCUUGGUUUAAAGCAUUAAACUGAGGAUACCCCAUCCAAUCACCAAGCUCCACACCAUCUUUCUUAUGGACCAUGUUUUCUGUACUCCACUCUGCAAUAAUCAAAUAACAUCUUGUAUUCAUAUUUUUUCCCACUAUUAUUAUAAUUGGAUAUGCAAAAAAAAAAUAGCUUCAUCCAUUGAAAGCUAAACAUGUUUUUGGAUAAAAAUAUAUUAAAUUUGAAAAAAUGAAUUUAGACUAUAAUAUUAAAAAAUAUUUAAAAAAUAAAUUGGGUUUUAGUUAAAUAUUUGAAGUAUAGACAUAGAUAGAAUUAAUUAAUUAUAAAUAUAGAUAAAUUUCAACAAAAUUUAUAGAUGCCAUUAAUAUGAUAUGUGUGUGUUGAUCCAACCUGAGGUCUAAUUAAAGCUUUCCAUGUCAGAGUUUACGUUAGAAUUUAGAACACCCUCUAUAUUUUUGCUAUAUUAGACAUACUUAAAUUUUAAACCCCAUAAGAGAAUAUGCAUAUACAUAUACAUAUAGAUAUACAUACCGUAUCGGUUCCAGCAGGGCCUGGUGAAGAAGCGCCGAGGCUGGGAGUAGGGGCCUCAUUUGAUGGAGACGGUGGGCUGGAGGCCGAAGGUGAUAGUGCUGGAGACUUAGCUUUGGUCUUGCUAGGGGCCGGAGCUGGAACCGUGGCAGGAGGAGAAGCCAAAGGAGCUGGUGGUGGGGUAGCUGGAGGAGGAGUAGCAGGAGGGGGAGAAGCAGGUGGUGGGGUAGCCGGAGGUGGAGAAGCCGGUGGGGGAGUUGCGGGAGGUGGAGUAGCCGGGGGAGGAGAAGCUGGUGGUGGGGAGCUAACGGGCGGGGGAGUCGCUGGAGGAGGAGUGGAAACUGGUGGUGGUGAUGAAGUAGGAGGAGGAGAGGAAGCUGGUGGCGGAGAAGUAGUUGUGGGUGUUGGAGGUGGUUGAGUAGUAGGUGGAGGUGUGGAAGCGGGUGGAGUCGGCGGCGCCGGCGUGGAUGUCGGAGGAUUACUAGGAGUAGGAGGAGCUUGGCCUAAAACGCCAGCUACAGCAAUGCAAAACAAAGCUGAUAAGAACAAAAACUUAUUAUUAAGCAUCAUAUUGGAAACAAUGGUGACCCUUUAAUCCUGCACACCCUCUCCGCUUAAACUACGCCCAGCCGUGCAAGCAAAUGAGGGAGAAGAAGAGGCAAGUAUGAGAAAUGAAAAGAUGGUGAUAUUUAUAUAUAGGAUAUGGAAAUUUCCAUAUCAUAUUUCAAUUUAAAAUCCCCAAAACAAAUACCAGCAUUUUUAUUUUAUUACUAAUGGGAAAAUUGCAUUACUAAUCAUAUACAAUAUUCUAUAUUAAUUUAGUGUAAUUUAAUUCUUUCAUUUUUUUAUAAUGUUAUUAAUAGGUCCAAAAUCAAUAUCUCCGAUCGUUAGUUGCUGUCAUUAAAGUGAUGAUACGAAAUUAUUUUUUUUACUAUUAUUCCAUCAUACAAUCAGAGAUAUAGAAAUCAAUCAAUUUUGUUAAACAAAUAAUAAAUUUCAAUCUGAGUCAAAUGCUUAAAGUUGUUAAAAAAAAUUCACGUCAUCACUUUAACAACAUCAACUAAUAGCGUUAUCAAUUUGUACUUUGUAGCUACCAAUAACAUUAUAAAAAUAAAGGGUCAAAUUAUAUAGAAGUAAAGGAUUAAAUCUCUAAUUUCAAUUUAGUAAAGGGACUAAAAUGGAAUUAAACCUAUUAGUGGGGGUCGGAGUUUUUUCCUCGUUUGGUGAGGUAAAAAAAAAAAAAAACCCUAGUGGGGCAUAGUUAUAAUGUCACUUUGAUGAUUAUAAAUGAUGCGUUAGUUAGUCAUACUUUAGGUAAAAAACUGUGAGGUGGGAUUAGUGUAGAUUGAAAAUUUUUAGUGAAGGGGUUAAUUUAUACCUUCAAAAUUUUGCAAUAUUUGGUAGUUCCAUGAAAUAUUCCCCGCUAUUUAUCAACUUUUCAAUCACUCAAAUAGGUUUUAAUUUAGUUUUGUUGUGAAAUUUCUAAUUCAAGCAUACAAUGAGUAGAUUUUAUUAUGGGUCGGGUCGGGUUAUUAUAAAAUUUUAGGUGUAACGUCCCGAAUUUUUGGGCCUAGAAGUUAAAAGAUUUAAGCAUAGGGGCAGUAAGGAGGCCACACAUAAGUGAUUAGUUGUGCACUAUAGUGAUAAGAAUGGGCUUAUUAGUCUAGUGGUUAAAUGGAGUGUUAAUUAAGUUCAAGGUUUUUGGUUUGAGUCACUAUGUGUACAUUUUGGGAGUCUUUUUAUUUUGUUUUUUUUUAGUUAGUGAUAAUAAUUAAUUAUUUUAUUUUAUUUUUAUUAUUUUUCUUUUCUUUUCCACGUUAGUUCUCUCUACUUCUUGGUUUUUUUUUCUUUUUGUUCUUUUUCCUUGGACUUUCAAUUUGUGCAUUCUCUAUGUUUUUGAAUCGUUUGCUUACAGAUUUCGAAUUGUCGCACCUCUAUCGUCUUCUUCGUCGUUCAAUCAGGUGAGGGAUUCAAACUUUAACUACAUUGUUUAAUUUUGCAAAGUUUACGUGCGGCUUUUCUUGAAUAUGUGAUAACCCGAAGGUUUUUGGGUUUUGAUCGUUGGAAGUGAGGAAAAUACGUUAUAUUGUGAUAUGUUCUUGAUGUGGUUAAGGUUAGGGACAGUUUGGGUGGCUAAAACGGUGUUUUCGGGGCUAAUUUGGGGUGGUUUCAUGACCUCUCCGGCAGCUACACGGGCGUGUGCCGUGGUAGACAGUCAUAUGGAUUUGGGAACUAGGGUUUCCAGGCCAAAUUGGAUGCCACACGGCCGUGUGGCCGAUUUGGGGAUUUUGUCGAAAUUCACACGGCUGUGUCCCCUAGGCACAUGGGCAUGUGGGUUUGGAAUUAGGGUUUCAGAGAUUUGAAGUCACACAGCCUGGCCAUACGGCUGUGUGGCUGAUUUUGGGAUUUAGGGAUCCCACACGAGUGUGUGUUUCGUAACACACAACCAUGUCUAGUUGGCACACGGGCAUGUGAGACCCUCACAUAGCCGUGUCUGCCCUGCACCUUAUUUUAGCGAAAUUGGACAGUGAGUUACACAGCCUGUUCACACAGUCGUGUCUCUGCUUCGCACGGGCGUGUGCCUAUGUCACAUGGCCGUGUGCUAUCCUUCACAAGGGCGUUUGAAGCCUCACACGAUCUGGAUUGCUCUACACGGCUGAAGCAUACGGGUGUGUAGCCCUAUCUCGCCAAAUAAUGAUUUUAGGUCAAAUUUAAGUGCAAUCGUGACUCUAUGUAUUCCAACCCUCGACUGAGCUCUAGUGAGGGUAUUUACGACGCUGAUCUGAGUUUGGAUAAUGUGUUAAUUGUGAUUGGUUAUGUGACAUGUUUGAUUCUGAACCCGGGUUAGCUGGGUGAGUGUGUAUGCAACUAGUUCUGUCUGACUGUUUGAAUACGUGUCAUUGAUAUGCGAGCUUAUUUUGCAAUUGCUACUGAAUUCAAGUUACGAGUAUACUUAAGACUAAUUUUGUAACUAACUGAUUGGAUGUGAGCGUCUACUUCUGAAUAAUUGUUUGAGACUAGUAUUCUGAUUGUGUACAUCUGACUGCAUACAUACAUACAUAUGCAUAAACUAUUUUGGGCGGGAUUUUUGAAGAGAAGGUGUUGUAGGCCAAUUUUGGGCCCGUUUACACUUUAGGCCGAACAUACAUCAAACCCAUUUACAAUUAAACCCCAGCAUAACCCACAACCCAAACCCAACAAAUAAACCCAAAACCAAACCCAAAUUUAACCCAAUUCAAAUCCCAUAGACCCAAACCCACAUGUAAGCCCAAGUUGUUAGACCCAACUAGCUUGAUUUAGGGUUUCAAAAAAACUGAAACCCUAACCUACCCCCAGCGCCGCCAACGUCACAUCGCCCAUGCCAGUCCACUUGCACUACCUUUGCUCCACUGUUCAACCACCACCUGCAAAACAAAAGAGCACGCAACAGCAGCGCAAAAAUAGGAAAUAGACAGUGUAUGAACAACAAAAUCGGCUAUAAAGCCGAAUGGAAACCAAUGUAAUAGAAAAUAUUUUCGGUUAUUUUCUUCAUCAAUACAAAAAAAUAGAUUUAAACAUAUACAAGCAAUAAUUCGGGGAAAAUCAAAACACUAGAAUAACACCAAUUGGGCAACCAAAACAUCAAUAUCAAAAGCCUAAGGUGAUUUAAAUCUUUUUAUUUUUAUUUAUUUUUGAAUCAUACAUACCUAUGUAUUUUCAUAAAUAGUAUAAUAAAAAGGAAAAUAAAAGAAUAAAAAAAAGAUAGGAAAUUUUUACCUUUUCCGGCCACCGUGCGACGGUGGCACACGGCGGUCCGGCAACCAGACGUGGACGGCGACCGGCCUUGUGGCCGGAAUUCGCCUCUCCUUCUCCCCUCUCUCUUUUUUUUCUUUGCUAUGCAGAAAAUGAAUUUUUUUUGAAGAUUUUGGCCUUUUUAUAGCUUCCUAAAACGACGUCGUUUUGGGGGUUGCCCUUUAACCUCAAAACGACGUCGUUUUGCCCUGGAUCAGGUCGACCCGACCCUACCCACUCAGGAUCUGAGUGUUUUUGCUCUUAGGGGCUAAUUGCGCACGCGGUCCUUCCGCUUUUUCUAUGUUUUUCAAUCAGGUUUUUUAUGUAUUUUAAUUUGGCCCUAUAAUUAGUUGCGCUUUCCAAUUUGGUCCUCAAUGCUAUUGCGCAUUUUGGGUGGAGAGGCUUAUUUCGUUUUAAGUCCCUCCACUAUUUGUGCGCGUUGAAAUAGGUCCCCUUCCCUUCUUUUUAUUUCAGUUUUUGCCCCAAGCCUUUUAUUUUUAAUUCGAUUCGAUCCUUUUUUUAAUUACUUUAUUAUUAAAAUUAAUUAUUUUAGUAUUAUUGUUAUUAGCACUAUUCAUGUACAUAUAUAUUAUCAUUAUUGUUACUAUUACUAUUAUUAAUCUUCAUAUUAUUACUAUUAUUUCUUUAUUUUUAUAUUAUAUUAUAUUAUAUUAUUAGUUUUUACUAUUAUUAGUAUUAGUUUUAGCUUCAAUUAAUAUUUUUAACAUGCAUAUUUAUAUACUUUUAUGUAACAUUAUUAAUAAUUAUUUUUUAAAAUAUUAUUAUUAUUUUUUAAUACAUGCAUAUAUAUUAUGUGUAUAUUCUUUUAAUAGACAUUAUGUAUAUAUAAUUUUAUAUAUUAUUUUUAACUUUACAUUAUGUAUAUAUUGUUAAUAUCAUAUUAUUCAUAUAUUCUAUUAUAUUAUAUAACUAUAUUAUGUAUGUAUUUUUAACACUAUAUUACGUACAUACUUUCAAUAUCAUUAUUAUUAUGUAUAUAUAUUUUUAAUAUAUAUAUGUGUAUAUUUAUGUAGUAUUAUUAAUAGUUGUUUUUAAUAUUAUGAUUAUUUCUAGUAUAUAUAUAUUAUGUAUAUACUUCUAAUACUAUAUAUUGUAUAUUUCUAAUACCAUUAUUAUUUAUAUGUGUAUAUGUGUAUGUAUUUAUGUAUCGUAUUAUAGUUGUUGUUUUUUUUGUAUCAUUAUUGUUGCUAAUAUAUAUAUAUCAUGUAUAUAUGAUUUUUUUUAUAUAUAUUAUGUAUAUAUCUUUAAUAUUAUAUUAUUUAUAUAUUUAUGCUUACAUAUUAUCUUACGUAUAUAUUUUUAAUAACUAUAUUAUGUAUAUACUAUUACUAUAUAUCUAUUUAUGUUGCAUUAUCAAUGGUUGUUUUUACUAUUAUUAUUAUUCUUAAUAUAUAUAUUAUGUAUACAUUUUUAAAUACUAUAUUAUAUACAUAUAUUUUUAAUACCAUAUAUGUACAUAUCAUUAUUAUAUCUAUUUUUACCCCUAUUACAUUUGUUAUUAAUAUUAGUAUAUAUUUUAUUAUACGUGUAUAUAUAUACUUUUUAAUAUAGUAUUAUUUUUAUAUAUCAUUAUAUUUAUUAUUAUACUUAUUAUUUUCGCUAUUGUUACUUAUUAUUUUAUUUUAAUAUUAUUGUGUAUUAUUUGGUAUACAUAUAUCUUUUUGUACAUAUUGUUAUUUUUUAUUAUACGUAUAUUAGUUUAUUAUGGUAUUAAUACAUUUUUACCUUUUUCUUUUAUUGUAAAUAUUAUUUAUUAUUACUCUAAUAUCCUAAUAUUAUAUUAUAAUACUUUUUAUUAAUCAUCUCAUUAUUUUGCAUCGUUUAUUUACUUAUGAAUUUUUGUUAACAUCAUCAGUUUUUUUUUAUCAUUAUUUUAGAAACAUUUUUAUUUUAAUAAAUAAUGCAACGUACCGAUUUUAACAUUAAGUUUGUGAUUUCAUCGCUAUGUUGGGUGAAUCACGUUGGCUCGUGUUAAAAACGGGACAUCCUUCAAAAAAACCAAAAACUUGAAAUUUCUCGUGUCUUGGUCGGAUCAUGAUUAAAUAUUAAAUUAAACUUGUAUUUUUGAAAAUUAAGACAACGCGUAAUUAACAAGAUACUAAUUUUGGGCGUCGUGAGGGUGCUAAUACCUUCCUCGCGUGUAACCGACUCCCGAACUCUAUUUUCCUCUGGAUUUUCACGUAGACCCAAAUUCGGCCUUCAUUUUUGUUCAAGAAUAAAUUUUCUUUUCUAAAAAGAAGAUUUAUUAGGUGUCUGAUCACACCUAGAAAAAAGAUCGGUGGCGACUCCUUUUCUUUUUAAAACCGAAAUUCCAUUUUCAAAUAAUCGCCUCAACUAGCGACCGGAAAGUGAAAUUUUUACGUUGCUACAGAAGGAAGAUUGACUGAACUGAACUGAUAGCUAAUAUGUUGCCCCUAAUACCCAGAGGGUCAUGGGCGGUCCCAAUACCCUGAGGAUCGUGGUUAAUUUGACUGUACUGCGGACUAUCGCACUGUACUGUACAGAACAUACAUCAGCACCGCUGCUAUCAUUGACUAAACUGGCAAUUUUACUGCAACCUAACGAUAUAGCGGUCUACCGCAUUGCAUUGUACCGCAUGUACGUUAGCUACGCUACGUACUAUUAUCUGAUCUGGCAGUUCAUACUGCAUGUCUGUACCGCGGUUCACCGCAUUGCACAGUACAACCUAUACGCUGGCUUUCCUACGUAAUUUACGUGACUAGCAGUUUAUCUGCAUACUGUUAGCCCAAAUUCCCAGAGGGUCGAUGGCAAUCCCAAUACCCUGAGGGUCAUGGACAAUGCUGAUGAUCAUCGUUGUCGGGUAACCCGGGAUGACAUCAUAUGGGGUGUAGGGUUGGAUGGGCUUUGCGAGGUCCUGUAUGGAGUGUUUGGUGGGACAAGCUUAAAGCUUUUAUGAGAAGUGAUGGGGGACGGAGAGGUGUGUUGGCUGGAUAGGUGGAUAUUUUUAGAACUCAUUUGUACUCAUAUGUAUCUGAUUGAUCUGUUUAACUGAAUUGGAACUUGUGAAUGGUUGAGAAUUAUUGCUACUGUGACUGAAUGUGAUACUGUUCGAUUGAGAGGCACUUGUGCCUAUGUGAAUUUUGUAGAUUCUGAUUGCGACUGUCUGACUGGAUUCUUACUGUGACUGAUUAAGAUUUGUUGCUACUCUGUCUGAGUGGUACUUGUGGCUGAGUGUAUCUAACUGAUUGAGUUAAAACUAGUGGCAGAAUAGCACUAUGUUUGUGUAGCUGAGUGUAAUUUUUAAUAUGCAUUAACAAAUAUCUGUCUGUCGGUACGUCCGUUUCGAACGUACCCUUUGGUUCUGAAUAGCUCUGUAAGUAUGUUUUAUUUCUGAACUGCUUUUAGUUCCCUGUUUCUGUCUCUGUAGUUUAACUGGUUUGAUCUCAAACUGAGCUCGAGUAGCUCACCCCCUCUUUCGUUUCCCUUUUCAGGUACAAUUCUGGAUUAUGUUGAUGGACUUGGCACGCGAAGGUCUCAGACAGUCUCGCAAACAAAUAAAUUAUCAGUUUUGUUUUCCGUUACGAUUUUGUUAUUUGGUUAACUUUGAACUGUAAGGCUUUAUAAUACUGUGGUACAGUUUCCAUUUUAGAUUUUCAUGCAUACGUUUAUUUUGGGUUUUAUAUUGAGUCUUACUGUAAAUUUUAUUGACUGAUUAUUAAAUGGUUUUAAACACUUUUGGUUCACUGAGAUGAGUUAUUUUGUAAAAUUUUCCUACGAUCACUUCGGUGAUCAAUGUAGCAUUCCGAAUUCGGUCUAGACUUUUAGGCCGAGUUUGAGGUGUUACAUUAGGUUUAUUUUUUAGGUUCUAAUUUGACUCGAAAAAUAGGUCUAAAAUUUUAACUAAACCCAGUUUAGAUAAAAAUAUUAAACCCAAGUCCAAACGUAUUAAACUUUUUAUAUUAUUAUUUAUAAAAAAACAAAUUUAAAAAAUAUAAUACAUCAAAUACACUAAAAAUAUUAAAAUAGAUGUUUCCUAAUAAAUUGAAAAUACAUUAAAAAAGUUUUUAUACUUAACAAGCAAAUGCCUUUAAAAUAGUAGCAAAAUUAACAAGCCCAUGAUUAGGUCUAAUGAUGAGUUCUUUUGUUAGUAAUGUUUAUUUUGGUAUUUGAGUUUUUUCUGUCUUAAUUUGGUACUUAAUUUUGACUUUAAUUUUUUUCCAAUUAAGCACUUAAGUUUGGCUUCAAUGUUCAAUUUGGUACCUAAUUUUUUUUGUCCAAAUUAAUUACCUAUAUAUUUUUUACCAAAGCAUGUGUGUCAAACAUUUAUUGGAUCAUAUGAUGACAUUUGGCUUAGGUAUCAAAUUGAAUAUCAAAUUCAAACCUAAGUACUAAAUUGAAACAAAAAACACAAAUACUAACUUAAGUAUUAAAGCUAAACUCAAGUAUCAAAUUGUAUAUUAAUCAUUGGUAAACAAAAUUUCAAGGAUUAGCAUCUACUAAGCUUUCAUUUUCCCUUUUGCAUGUUACAAUUGAUAUUUGUUUAACGCAUAAACUUGGUAUCUUUUUUCCCGUAAUGAUCCAUUUUCAACAAUUUUUGUACACCUAUAUUAAAAUCUGAAAUAAUUUGGUUAUCUUCAACAUACAUAAAGCUGUUAUAUUAAAGUUUAUUUAUAGUUGAGAUUUUUAAAGGAUUUUUAUAAGAUAUUUUUUACACAUUCUUUCCAUGACAUUAAGGAGUAGGGAAGAAAACGUGGUAGUGUUAAAAGGAUCAGUUCAUCUAAACAAGCGGAAAGUCAAAAUAAGAAACAAAUUAAGGAGGAGUAGGGGACUCACACAUCCAUAACAUAUGCAUAUGUUAAUAUUAAAAAUUUACACAACGCAAUUGUAAAUGGUGAGACUUGGACUUCGAUACUUAAAGACCCAAGAUAUCGCCUUAACCAAUAAUGUCAACAAGAUCUCAUUAACUUUUUAGGAAUUUUCUUAACUUCACAUAUAGGGAUUAAAAAAUUACGAUAUAACUCAAUAUAAUAUUAAAGAGUAAAAGUUAAUCAAAAUUUACAUAUAUCACUCAUUUAAUCAUAUGUGUACAGAUAAAAGGAAGCCACUCAUCCUCUUGCCAACCCUACGUGUAACAUAAUUCACUAUAAAUUCCACCUACAUAUACAUACAUACAUAAAUAUAAAAGAGAAUUUCAUGGUCUUGGACUAGAUUGGCUACAAAAUUUGACAAACGGCAUGUGUAGGAGGAUUAAAUUCGAUGAAUUGCAUGAGAGUUUCUCCUUUUUGAUAAUUUAGUACAUGAGAGAAUAAUGAUGAUUGUGGGGGGGGGGGGGUGCUCCAUCGAAAUAGCUGGAAUUUAUUUAUUUUAGUGAACUGGCAAAUGUAAUUUGUACGCCAAGUUAUAAGGUGAAAAAGGGAGAAAUCAUAUAGAUUUGGUUGGUAAUGGUAUGUUGAUGUUGGAACACCUGCGGUGCACCGCCACAAUUAGUAGGCCCCUAGCCCCGCUGUCACCCCAUCAUAUGUGCUUUUGGAUGGAUCCAACAUUUUCGUGUUCUUUCAUUCUUCAACAUCAUCAUUAUUAAUUAGUUACUCUUCAAUUUCUAUAUGUAAUUUGCUUUCUUUUCAUUCAUAGGUUUUCUGUUUUCUGUCUUUGAUUUUGUCUUGUGCACAACUGAUGUCCUCCAUUUUUUUCCCCUUUUGUAGAAUUGGGUUUGUCACUUUAAUAGUGCCCGAAAUUAUUUUAUGGAUUUUUUUCAUCAUAUCAUUUAUAAUCUAUUUUUAGUUAUUUAAUGAUAUUUUAGUAAUUUUUUUAUGUUAUUGACACAUAAUUUUACUAAUUUUUUUACCCAGAACCCUCAAUCUUGAGUUUAGAAUCUUGAACCCCGAACCUUGAACCCUAAACUCAAACAUUAAACUCCAAACCUAAACCUUAAAUCUUGAAACCCUCAAGGUUUAGGUUUGAGGUUUAAGUUCAAAUUCAAGUUUGUAGUUCAGGGUUCGAGGUUUGAAAUUUAAGGUUCGGGUUCAGGGUCAGAGUUCAACAUUCAGGAUUCUAGGUUUGGGGUUUAAGAUAAAAAAAAAUUACCAAAAUUAUAUGUCAAUGACAUGAAAAAAAAAUUACUGAAAUGUCAUUAAAUAAUUAGAAAGGGACCAUGGAUGAUGUGGUGGGAAUGGUCCAAAAAUAAUUUCUCAUUUGUAUGGGAUAUUAUUCAUUAUCUAUUAUAAUUUGAUAUCUCUAUUUUUAUAAUAUUAUUAGGGGAAAGGAUUGUAUGAAACAGUGACGCCAUGUCAUCUGUAUCCCUUUCCAAUAAUUUUAUGCCAUAUCAUUACUUUUAUCCUCAAUUUCAGGAUUUUAUCCUGAAAAAAAUCAAAUCCAAAUUAAAAUCCUGAAAUUCAGGAUAAGAAUAUUGAUGUGGCAUAAAACUAUUGGAAAGGGAUACAGAUGACGUGGCGUCACUGUUUCAUACAAUCCUUUCUCUGUCCAAAUUUAUAACAAUGUUGAUUGCUUCACUAAAAUGAGAAGGUCCAAAAGAGUUAGAAGAUGUUAUUGAGAUUAAUAAAGGAGUAAUUUAUUUCGAGAUAGAUUAAUAUAAUUUAUUUGUGUUUUUUAUUUAAAAAAAAAAGUAAAAGGACGUAGUAAAGGAAUUUUCAUGCAUCAAUAAUUUAUUAUUUAAACUAUGAAAUUUCAAAAAAGAAGAAAUUCAUGUUGAAAUUGAUACUAUCAAGCAAUUUAAAAGUGUAAAAAUUUCAGUAUCAGCUGGAUAUUUAAUGUCAAAUAAACUAAAGAAAUGAGAAACACAAGCCAAUUGUCCACAAUGAUUAACUUGUUCCUAAAAAGAAAGUUGUACAUAGACUUUGCUUAUAAAUCAAUCCAAUUUUUUUUUAUAUAAAAGGAAACAUAUUACAUACUUAUAUUGAGUUAUUUGUACCACAACCCACUUAAAUUAUGAUUUUAAUUUUCGAUUGAGUCUUAGUUCAAUUGAUAUUGGCAUUAUUAUCUGUGGAGGAGUGGAUUCAAGUGCGCUGAAACGCAUUAUCCUUCUAUUUAAAUGUUGGGAAGGAACUAUAGAUUCGAAAGCAGAUAUGAUAAGAACCUAUAAUAAAAUUAAUGUAAUGCCUCCUUUUUCCUUUAAAUCCUACUUAAAACACACUUACUUAUUAUUUGCUAAAAUAUUGACAAAUCUAUAAUUUGAAUUCGAACAUUUAUAAUUCAAUCUUGGUCCCUUUAAUACAAAAAAUGUUGGCUUCACCCUUGAUCAAUUUAGUCAUCAAGUUUUUUUUUUUUAACAUAAAUUUCAAUAUAGAUUCUUAUCAUAUUAGCUCUUUUUGAUACAAUGCUUAUAACUAUCCAUAGCCCUUCCCCAAUCAUUAAAUAGUAGGAUAAUACACUUUAACGUAUUCGAAUCCACAUCCUCUUCUACUGACAACAAUGUCAAUCAAUACAAUUUUAAAUACGAGUGUACUACUUAGAUAAUCAUAUCCAAGGUACACAUACUUUUAAAAUUUGAUCCACACACUUUAAAUAUACCCCACCUCUGAUCUAAUCUAGCAUUUAUCACCUAAGCUGACGGUUAGAGGAACAAAAGAACUUGAUUGAUAUAAUAUCAAUAUUUUAUAGACUCAAUCGUACCAUAAUUAUGGACGUUUUCGCUGAGUUAACUCUAUAUCUAAAUAAGUCAUGGUAAACAUUCAAUAUUAAAAAAGAUAAAGGGAAAGUAUAAUAACCCAAAACACCAAAUUUUGGUUGGUUUAAUUUGCAGCUUUAACCAAUGCUUUUGCAUGAUCCAUCAAUUAGUGAGGAUUUUGAUCUUAAUUGGAGGGUCCCAUUCGGUUAUUAAGCUCUUUUUCCACCCUCAUGAUUGCCAUAACAUGGGCCCUUACCGUUUUACUUUGGAUACCCUUUUAUCUUUGCUUUGCUUUGCUUUGAUUUAAGGUUUUAUACAUAAAUGGUCACUUAAACUAUACCUCAAUUUUUAGAUUUGUCCUUAAAGUUUUUUUUUUAUCAAGAGUGGCCCCCACACUAUCAAAUUUAUCUCAUUUUACCCAAAAAGCGUACAAUAUCCAAUAAAAAUAUUUAAAAUGUGACGCGUGUCACAUUCUUAUUGGUUAAUAUCAUUUUUUGAAUAAACAAAAAUAAAAUUAACAGUUUAGCGAUCACUUUGACCAAAUAAAAAAGUUUUAAGGACUACUUUAGGAAUUUAGAUAUAACUUAAGAGUUAUUUUAUUAAUAAAGCUUUGAUUUAUUCAUCAAUUAACACUGAAAGAGUUUUCCUUAAUUUACUCAAAUGGUCUUUUUGUUUGUAUCACCUAACAUUUUGAAGAACAUCCUUUCUCUGUGUACCUCAUACAAUUCGUUAAUACGAAAAUUUUAUGAUUUUUUUAAAAAUAAAUUUAAUUGUCACGUUGCAGGUUACAAAUACUUUUAAAUAAGGGCUUUUUUCAUACAAGAAUACCAAUUAAAAAAUAUCUUCAAAGGUAUAUCAGUUAUACUCAGAUCAAAAUGUUUAAACUUAAUUUAUCUAAUUUCUUCGGCAGGGACCUAACCCAAAAUUGGUAAAAUUAAAAUUAGAUCUUUAUAAUUUUGAAGCAUUAAAAUUGAAUUUUUUUUAAAUUGUAAAAUUAUAAAUUUAGCCCCUAAAAAAAUUAUAAUUCAACUUCAGCCUCUAAAAUUUUUUCCUCUAACUUCAUCUCCCCAUAAUUCAAUAUAUUUAAAAAAAUUUGUGACUGACAUUACCAACAAAAAAUAUAUUUAUAAUUAGUAUUUAAUAUACAAUUAAUGAAAUGUUUUAAUUCUAUAAGCAAUGUUCAAAAUUUUCAUAUAUCUCAAUUUUUAAUAUUUUUUUUAUUAAAUCAUGAAUGAAAUAUAUAUUACCUUUCAGAUUUUACUUGUAGAGUCUAAUAACUAUAUGACGCAUUAAAUCAUUAUACAUAUAUAAGGUCAAGUGGUCCAUAGGUAGCUUAGAGUACAAGGGAUUAAGUUGAGGGUCUCUUAUCAUUUUCCCCAAAUGUGAAGUGAUGUUAACUGCUUAGCUUUCUCCUCUUGCCCCAUUCAUUUUCCUUCCUUUCCACAAUAUAUAUUGUAUAAGUAUUUAUGGGUAAUCGAUUGAGUAUUUACUCGAUUAAUAUGAGUAUUAAUGUCAAUAGAGGAGGACGUAGAUUUGGCGCAUUAUUCUUCUAAUCAUGGGUUGAGAGGCUAUGAGUAGUUUUAAAUAUUAUGUCCAAAAAAAACAGAUAUGAUUAGAACCUAUAAUAAGAUUAUUUAAAAAAAUAUUUAUGGGUAAUCAGUUUAUACAAUUUCGAUUAAAUGUAUAAAUCCAAUCAUUAAUCAUUAAAUUGUUUUACUUUAUGCCAUAGUAUUGUUUUAACUGCAUAAGCAUGUGGGUUAAUGAAAACUACUUAUAGUAUCUCAAUUAAAUGUAAUCAACAACCUCAACUCAUAUCUCCCAUCUCUCUCACUCUCAAUUAUAUAACCUAUUAAUAAUUAACAUUAAUAACCCACUUUCAAGUAGAUCUCAGGCUACCUGCCAUGCCAAGCCUAAAGCUUAUAAGAUGCUUGAAAAGGUUUGCACAAAUAUACAAGAAUAAGUAGGAUAAUGGUUUGGGCAAAAAUUAAGCUUAAUUAUUUAAAUUAUAGAUUAAAUUUAUCGAUAAAUCAUGUUAAGCGUAAUGAUAAGAUAUAUUAUACUCUUAAGAAAAGAAUGUAGAUUCAAAUACUAGAAACGAUAUUGUUAGGAAAAGUAAUCACAAAUCUCAAACAUGAAUCAUAAAAUAAACAUAUAAAAUACUAAAAAAAAUCGAAUUUAAACUCAUUUAAAAUUGUUGAAACAUGGAUAAUUUAACUCAAUAUUGCAACAGGAAUUUCGAUAUAGUUUCUAUAAAAUUUAGUGUUACAAUAUGAUUUCCCAUAGAAGUGUGAUAAAAUCAAUAAUGUUGACUUGUAUUAUUGCAUUAAGUAGUGCAUGAAAUGUAGGAUUCUAUUGUAAAAGAGAAUUAGAUAAAAUUGUAUAAAGUGCAUACUAAAAACUGUUUUGGAGGCUUUAAAGAAUUCUAUUCGCUUAAAAGGUAAGAGUCUACUUCAUCAGCUAAGGUUUACAAUGUAGGGUAAGUGUUCAAUCGAAUUAAGUGAAAAAAUUUUGAGUUUAUCGAGUUGAUGAGUCCUAUUUUAUCAUACUAACUUGAUUUGAAAUUUUCUCGAAUCGAGUCGAGUAAAAUGAAAUUCAAGCCAAAUCAAAUCAAGUGAAAUUAUUUGAGUUAAAUUAAAAAAUUAAACAUGUCAAAUUAAAAUCUUGUUAUAGUAUAACUAAUUUUAUGUUAGAGCACAUAAAUUUGAAAUCACAUAUAUUUGAAAACUUUUUCAAAGUAAAAUAAGAAAAAAAAUAAUUUAAUAUAAUAAACUUAAAUUAUUAAUUAACUUUUAUUUAAGUCCCCAAAAUUAUUAUUUUAAAAAAAAUUAAAUUUUUAACUUUCUUUAUAUACUUUAUAAUUUUUUUAAAAAAAUAUAAAAUUUGGAAUUUUUAUAAAUAUUUUGAAUUUUAAAAAUUAUUAUGAAAAUUUUGAAAUUUAUUUUGUAUUUUUUGUUGAAAGAGAUCAAUUUGCUUUUUUUUUUAAAAUUAAUAGGGACCAAAAGGGGUAUUUAUACCAAUCUAUUAUUCGAGUUAUUCGAAUUGUAAAAUUCAACUUGACUUGAACUCAGAACUCGAAUUACUUAUUCGAUUUAAUUCGAAAAAAUUGAAUAAGAUUCAAUUAACUUAGAAUUCGAUUUUUAUUUUAUUUUUUUGAUCAAAUCGAGUUUUGUUCACCCCUAAUAACUUGUUAGCAACUUAUGCAAGAAUUUUUUAAUUUUAAAAUAAAAGCUAAUAAGAUUAUUUUAUCUUGAUAUUAAAUGCUAUUUAUACAACAUAUAAAAGAUGGUGGAUACACACAGUUGGGGUAGACUUUUUGAGUGUUUCAUUUUUCGGGUUGAGGGAAUAUUUUGCAAGGUAAAUACACCUUGAUACCCUAGGUAUUAUUUGGAGAAUUUUAUUCACUUGUAUGCAAAGAUGUUUGCAAUAUGUGAUAAUAUUUUGGGAGAUUGGAUGCAAACAAUUGCAUACUAGUGAAACUACUUUUUAUCUACAUUUUGCAAGAUAGAUACAUUAUAAUUAGAGGUGUCCAUAAGUCGGAUUGGAUCCAAUCAAAAUUUUAUACCCAUUUGUCAGGCUAAAAAUAUUAAAAUUCGAGUCCCAUCUGGCCCGUUCGUAUUAAUUUUUUUAUAUAAUUUUUUAAAAUAUAUAUAAUACAUCAACAAUACUAAAAACAUUAAAAUAAAUGUUAAAAACAUUAAAAUAAAUGUUCCCCAACAAAUUGAAAAUAAAUUUACAAAUUGAUUAAUAAAUUUUAAAAAAAUAUGUAUACUUAAAUAACACUAAGAUAUGUAUAACUUAACAAGCAAAUACCUCUAGAAUAGUAACAAAAUUAAAAAUAAAACAACAGUAAUACAAUAUCCAAAUAAUAACAAUAAAAUAGUAGCAAUAUAAUUGUGAAAUGGUAGCAAAAUAAUGAAAAAGAAGAAGAAAAAAAAGAAAAAAAUUACAAUUCUUUUAUUUUGCAUAUUCGGGUCGGCUAUUUUCUAAACGGACCUUAUUUUUCAGCCAAAAAAGUCUUACCUGAGGCUCAACCCGUUUUCUAAACAAGCCUUAUUUUUUUGCCUAAACACAUUUUUCGGGCCUAUAUUUUUAUCCAAACCCUCCCACUUUUCAGGUCGGGCCACAUGUACAGGUUUAACCAUGAUAUAUUAGGUAUUAUUAUAAACUACUAAAUACUAAAUAAAAAAUAACAUUUAAAAUUAAAAAAAUGAAAAGAAAAAAAAACUUAAAUGAAUAUAUACAAUGUAACAAGGUACAUAAACCUACAUUGUGACAAGUGUCGCAACUUUAUUUUUUUAUUUAAUUUCUAUAUUGUUUAUCUAUUAAAUAAAAUUAAAAUAAUUUAAACACAAUUUUAUCUUAAUGUAUUACAAAAUUUAAUUAAAAUAAAUGAAAAUUGUUAUUUGGAAUAUAUGGAUUUUAAAAAUAAUAAUAAUUUUCAUUUAAAUAAAUUUUACAAAUAAUAUAUAAUGCUGAUUAUAUAGUUUUAAAUAAUAUUUUAAUAUAUGAAUUGUUAUCUACAUAUUUAUUUAAAUAUAUUACAAGAAUUAAAACUAUUUAAUAACAUAUUCAUCAUAAAAUAAAACGAGAAUUAUAAAUUAUUAUUAUUAUUAUUUUAAAAUAUUUAUUUAAAUAAAACUAUAUGAGCAUAGGUUGUAACAUUCUACAUAUUUAUAUAGGUAAACCAUCAUGAUAAAAACUAUUAUCAUAAAAUUUUGCACUUUUUAUUAUAUGAUAUGUAUAAAAUAGUUCAAUUAGAUAUGAUUAAUAAUAAUAUUUAUGCUCAUAAAAUUAUCAAAUUAUAUAUUACAAUGUAUUUAUAAUGGCUCAAAUAUUAAAUAAUGGUUUACGGGUUGUAAUAUAUAAUAGUUCAAACAUAUUAUAAAUUUGAAAUAUAAUAUAUAUUAUAUUGAAUUAUUAUUAAUAGUAGAUAAUACUGUUAUAAUAAUUUAUAGUAGUAAAAGUAAAGGGUGAGCUAACAAUUCAGUGUGUAACUCAAUCCAAACAAUCAGCACAAAUACAGAUACAGUAACAAAGAUGAAUAUAGAUACAGAUAUAAAUCCUACUUCAUCCACUACACACCAUAUUUGUUCAUCCCUAGACAUCAAUUAGAGUAUUAAAUACUCAUGCAACCUUACCCACCUAGAAGUGAGCGUAUGUCACUUUUCAGAACAGUGCAAUCAAGCUACCAGAAAUAAUGUAAUAAUCCGCCAGAAUUAGAUAAGUGUGGUCAAGCCAUCAGAACAAAUAUGUGGUUUAAACCACCAGAUAAGACAGAUCAUUAAAUUGUUAACACUUCCUCCAUCAUAUUAUUAUCCCACCUUAAUGCAUAUGCAAACAUUAAUCAGGUAACAAAUGCAUAUAUAUCAUACACGCUAUACGUAUCAGAAUAUACUAUCAUGCUUUUAGAAAUUGCACAAACAGAAUAUUAGAUUUCAUAUCUAUAAGUCAUACAUAACACAUUAUGAAACCUACAAAGUGGCUAAUCUCGAAUCGUACUUUAAAUACGGCCUAACUAAAUUUUAUAGAAAAUGAGCACACAUGCCCAUGUGACCCACACGGUCUGGCACACGGCCUCACACAUACUCAUGUGGCCCACAUGACCCACUUAACUUAGCCCAUGUGGCUCACAUGGUCGUGUGAUUUACACGGUCUGGCACACGGCCAUGUGGUGUCGACAAUGAAUUUUUUGGCUUCGCAUCGUUCAUUGUUUUUCGAGAUUAUCAUUACAGACUUGGUCGUUUUUCGAUACUAACACCACGAAAAAGAUUCCAGAACUUAAAACAACAUUUAACACGAACAAUUUAGCAACGAUACACUAAAUAUAAUCCAUUAAUUCAACCACAACCACUAACAUUAGGCCUUAACAAGCUGGAAAUCAGUCUUUUGGGCAUUCGAUUACUUACCCAGAACAGUAGUGACAGUCCUAAAAAUCUCCUAAUUCACUAGAAGGAUGUCACAUGCCUCACAAACUUCUCCUAUUGAAACAUCAAAACAAUCAAAAAAAUGAAUAUUGCAUAAUACUACAACCCCUAUUCGUCAUACGGAAACGAAUUAACCUUACCGAAGAAUGCACUUACAAGACUUACACUUAAACAAAAAUAUGAAUUCUUUGCUCGAACACGGCGCUACGGUGAUUACAUGCAAGAAAAUCAAUACCACAAGGAUUUAAACAUUGGACCUCUAGGUAAGCUGAAGUUUUACCACUAAAUCAACAAGCUCAUUCUUAUCAUUAAUUUAGCAAAAAUAAUAUAUAAGCUUAAUAUCCAAAGUCGGUGGUUGGGACAAAAAUAACAAAAAUUUAAAUGAAAGAAUUUGAACCUAGAACAUCACACACACUAACACAACACAUAACCAAUAAACUAAAUUAAUCACUUUAACAAUAUUUAACAAUUCAAAAAUAAGAAUUUUGAGACGUUGCUAAAUUGUAUCAUAUAUCAUAUAUCAAACUUACGAUACAUCAUUCAUAAAAAUUAUAACAAACUUACGAAAGGAUUUAAUGAUAUUUAAUUCUUAACGGGUAAAAACUUAUAUCAUAUAUCAUAUAUAUUUAUAUAUUAAGAAUUUGAAUCAUUAAUUAUAUAUCUAUAUAUUAUAAUAGUUUCAUCUUUCAAAUUUUCUUCCUCAUAAUUAAAGCAUAAGUUAUAUUUAUAAUAUCAUAAAUAUAUUAUAUUUCAAAAAUUUACACACAUAAUCAACCUAUACAUCGCUCGUGAUAAGAAAACUAAUUUAUAAAUAUGAAUGUACAAAAUUCGAGCUAAAUCUAGCUUCAAUUUUCCGGUGAACUUCUUUUGACUUUAAAUCUUACUUUUUCUUCUUCUUUUUGGCAAAAUAACUUAUUUGGCACAAAAACAAAAGUCGUUUUAACUUUUUUUUUCACCAUUUUUUAGCAUUUAAACUUGCAUUUUUUUGUUAAAUCACUCCAAAAUGAAUGGAAAAGUUAACAUUUUUAACUUUGCUGAUGUUUCGUACAUGUGGAUAACACAUCAACAUUUAAUAAAUCUUAAAAAAAUUAUAAAAACUAUUUUUAAAAUUUAAAAUAUUAAUAUUAUAAAAAAAUAUAAAUAUUUUUAAAAAUUAAUUAAAUGCUGAUGGGUCAUCUACGUAGCAAUCCAUAUGUAUGUCAUGUCAACAAAGUUAACAAAUAUUAAUAUUUUCAUCCAUUUUAGGAUGAUUUAACAAAAUAUAUAAAUUUAAAGACUAAAGAUGCGAAAAUAAUUAUAAGACCAAAAUGACUUUUUUUUUUAAUUGAAGGACGAAAUAAAUGAUUAUGUAAAGUUGUGAAUAUUAAUAUUACCAUAACAAUCAUAAUUCGCUUAUGGUUUAUUCAUUUUUAGGGUUUUCCUUACUAGGAGUCUAGGAUACUUGAAGGCAGAUAUUAUUAUUAUUAUUAUUAUUAUUAUUAUUAUUAAAUUUAAACAUAUUUUUUUAAUUAAGGAACAAUAAUUUGGUCCGGGUCGGUCCUUGGACAGUAUUGUAAUUUCCCAAGUUAUUAACAUUUGUUUAGGGUUUCUCAUAGUUAAGAAUUAAGUGGGCUAAUUUCCCAACUUAGAUUUGAUGAUACGAUUAAAAAAUAGGAAAUAUCAAAAUAUGAUCAUAUGAAUUAUUAAUACUAGUUUUUUUUUAUCUGAGUAAAUAGAUAAUUACUUGAAUCAAUUUAAUAAAAAUUAAUAUACUAAAAAAUACAAUUCCAUCAUUUUAAUAGUUUAUAUAUUUAUAAUUUUUAAAGAAUUAAAUUAAUAUUUUAUCAUUUUAGGGAGUUAAAAUUUAAUUUUACUAUUAUUAAUUUAAAAUUUUAUAAAUUAUAUGUACAUACCCAAUUUUGCCAAACCCAAAUACAUUUCAAACCCUUACUAACCCAAGUCUGUUUACAAUAUUUUCAGCCCAAUUAGCCUAACCCAAGUACUACUAGCCCAAUACCCUAAAUUAACCUAGCCCAGCAGCCCAAAACAAAUUAGCAGAGAGGAAACCCUAAUUCCACUUGCCUCCUUACUUGCGCCGCACGCUCUUCUGCCCUUGGCUACCACGCCCCACUUUCUUCUGACACCAGCACUGGCCACCUGCUCCACCAUGCCUCUGCCACCGCCGUUCGCCCAUACCCUGCAAAAUGAAACAAAUGCCAAGACAGAAGCAGACAGCACAAGCAGUAACAGAGAAUAAAACAAACAAUACUUUAAUAUGGGAAUCGGCUAUAAAGCCGAAAUGGAAAAUCUGUAAAAGGGGGGAUUUUUGCUAUGAAAACAAAGAUUUUCUUUCAAUUUUAACAGAUUGAAUACAAGAACCAUUCGAAAAUACAUAUACAAUCAGGGGCUCUAACACCAAAUCGGAGAAUCAAAUCUAAAACCUAAGGUGACUUUUCUUUCAUUUUUUCUUUACUAUUUUGAGUUUGUUUUUUACACAAAAAUACUAAAAAAAAUAACAAAACACAUAAAAACAUAUAUAUUAUUAAGCAAAAAAAAAGAAAAGAAAAUUUACCUUUUCCGGCCACCGUGCACGGUGGCCGACGCCGACGAGUCUCCGGUAACCGUCCGGCGACCGGACCCCUGGCCGGAGUCCCACCGAAAAUCGCCCUCUCCCUCUCCCUCUCCCUUUCUUUUCUUUUUUUUCCUUUCCCCAUCCCCAAAUGAAUUUUUUUUUAAUUUUUAACUUAUAUAGGGGACCAAAACGUCCCCCCCUUUAAUAAAUAAAACGACGUCGUUUUGGACGCGGGUCGGGUCGACCCAACCCGCACCAGGGCAGGAUCCGCGUGUUUCUUAGCGGAAGGGAAAUUUGCGUGCUCGGCCUUUCCGCUUUUCUGAGAUUUCACAAUUACGUUUUUUAUGUUUUGUAAUUCGGCCCUAGAAUUUUUCAUCGUUUUCAAUCUGGUCUCCGUGCUGCGCAACGUUUAGAUAGUUGGGAUUAUUUUCAAUUUUGGUCCCUCCAGGUUGCGCGUGCCUCACAUUUUGAUCCCUCCUCUUUGUUUCCUUUUUAAAUUGACCCCACAACAUUGUUUUUAAUUUAAUUUUAGUCCUUUUUCGUUAUUUUUAUUUCCUUAUUAAAUACUCUUAUUAUUUUUAUAUUAUUAAUUUUAUUAUGUAUUAGUUUAUGUUUUAUUAUACAAUUAUAUAUUUAUAAUAUGUAUACACGCUUAAUAUAUUUGUAUAUACUUAUAUAAUAUUAGUACUAAAAGUUUUUAUUUUAAUAUGUAUAUAUUACCUAAAUGUUUAAAAUUAUAUAUGUACGUAUAUUCUUCAUUAUGUUCUUAAUACUAUACUUUACAUAUAUCGUACAUUUUUGUUUCAAGUUUGCUUUCAUGUAUUGUUUAGUCAAAAUUGUUUUAUUACUCAUUUUAAAAUUGUUUCACAUACUUUGCUUUAAACAUUAUAUCUCUUUCAUAUUAUGCACGUCAUUUUUAACUCUAUAUUGUAUAUCACAAUCUCAUAUAUUAUGUAUGUACUUCUCAUAUUAUUAGUUAUGUAUAUAUUCUUUACAUUAUCUUAUGUACAUAUAUUUUUCAUAUUAUAUUAUAUACCUAUCCUUUUGAUACCAUGUUGUAUAUAUUUUCAAUACUAUAUUACAAAAAUUUUUACCAUAUUAUGUAUGUUAUGUAUAUACGUUUUAAUGUUUUUGUAUUAUCUUAUAUGUAUAUUUUAAUAACUAUAUGAGGUAUGUAUUUUUAACACCGUAUUAUGUACAUAACUUUCAACAUCAUUGUAUACACACUUUUUAAUACUAUGUUAUUUAUACGUUUUUAUAGGUAUCGUGUACAUGCUCUAAAUACCAUCAUGUAUAUAGUUUUUUAUUGUUACUAUUAUGUAUACAUAUAUAUAGUAUCAUUAAUAGUUCUAAUAUCAUGCUCCCAUCACUUUGCUAACUAUUAUUAUAUGUUUGUAUAUAUUAAUUCUUAUUUCGCGUUUAAUACUAUUGUUAACAUAUUUAAUAUCGCAUAUAUGGCCAUUGUUUUAAUAUUCUCGUCGUAUUUAUCAUUUAUUUCAACAUAUUUCUAGCCCUUCCAUUUGUUCACUUUUAUUUCAUAUCAAUUUUGCUUGGCAUUUCUUCGAAAAUCUUAUUCUCGUUUUCUAAUUAAUUUCAAUAAUCGAGGCAACAUAUCGACUUAACAUUAAGUCAUCGAGUUCAUCGCUAUGUUGGGUGAACGUCAAUUGACACGUGUUAAAGCGAUAUACCCUUCUCAAAAAACGGAAUAAACUAAAAUUUCUCGUUUUUUAAUCGGAUCACGACUAAAUUUUACAUUGAACCCGAAUUUUUAAAAAUCAAGACAACCUGUGUUUAUGAGAUACCAAUUUUUGGGCGUCGCGAGGGUGCUAAUACCUUCCUCGCGUGUAACCGACUCCCGAACCUUAAUUUUUCUCUGGCUUUUAACGUAGACCUAAACUCAGUCUUUUUCUCGUUUUUAAAGAAAAAAGAAAUUUAUUAGGUGUUCGAUCACACCUAGGAAAAAGGAUCGGUGGCGACUCCCCCUUUUAUUUCAAAAUCGAACUUCAGUUUCCAAACUUUUUCACUAGAUCGCCACAAUUAGCGACCCCGAAACCAAUUUUUACGUCGCUACAUUAUAAAUGAGACUAAAUAGAAAAUUUUCUAUUUUAAGAAGGCUCAAAGACCUUGCCAGCCUCCUUGACUUCACCAUUGAAAUCUAGAAUAUACUCCUCACUAUGCUUUGGAAAAUUAAAGAUUUGAAAUUAUAUUAUUGUGUAAUAGAUAUAAUUAAUUUUUAAAUAUAUAAAUAAAGUUAAAGUUAAAAUUAAAUCACUGUGAUAAAUUGUAUAGAAUAUAGAUGAUUUAAGACAUGAUGCAAAUAAAACAUAGUUAAAUAAUUAAUAUAUAGCAUGCCAUAAUAAUAAAGGUGAAUCUAGAGGGUUCACAGGGCUUGAUUCUCCUAAAAUAGAAAAUUAUUAUUUAGAUUUUUUUAAAAAAUUUAAAAUUUUAAAUUAAUAAAAAUAAAAUUGUACUUUGAUUUCCCUAAAAUUAUAAAUUUUUUAUUCAAUCCUUUUAAAAAUUAUAAAGAUAUAAACUAUUAAAAAUUAAAUUUUCAUUUGGCCCCCUAAAAAAAUAUUCUGGCUUCGCCCCUGCAUGAUAAUAAUAUUAAUACAACACAAAUACACAAAAAAAUCAAAAUCUAUACAUAACAAUUAUUUACUUGUAUAAUUUUAUAAUAUUUUGAAUACAAAGAAAUAACACAAACAAUUUUCUCUAAAUUGAAUCACUCAAAUAAAAUAUUUUAAAUAUCUCAUGAUUUUAAAAUAUACUAUAAGGAUAAUUUUUUAAAAAUAAUUUAUUAUGAUAAAUCAUAUAAAUUAAAUAAAGAAACAAUACUAAUCCAACAUAAAAGAAAUGUAAUAAUAAUAUCAUAAAAAAUAUGUUCUUAGUUAAUGAUUUAGUCUGUACUUUGAGAAUUAGAGAAAACUCGAGUUCGAGAUUCAAUUAUAUAUGAGAAAAGUAUUAACAACCUCACAAUAACUUAAUACAUGUUGUUUUAAAAUUUUGAACCCAGUAUUUAAAUAUGAUCCCGUAAAAUUUAAGAAUGCAUGAAAUUUAUUAAUUAAGUGAAUUUGAUUUUGGAAAUAAACAAAAUACUCAAUUUAAUUUUAUUAUAUUUUUUAAAAUUUACUCACAUUAUAACAUUAAGAACAACAAAUGAGAGCGUAUCCAGUAAUUUUGGCAACAAUCUCUUUAAUUUUCGUAAUGCUAAAAUAUUACCUUUUUUUUUAAAAUUAAAUCGAUGUAAAGAAAUUCAUAGGUGCAUUUUCAUAUAAAUAAUUGAAUUAUUCAAAAUUACAUGCAUUUAGAGAUAAAUAUUUUACCCAGCACUACGCUUGUUCGACUCGUAAAAGGCAAAAAUUAGGAUUCAAAAUUAAAUUAUAAUUUUUAUGAUAAUAAAAAUUACUUAGGACAUCAUGUUCUCAAAAACUCAAACCUUUAUCAACAUAGAAUUGAAUCGAAUAUCGUUUUCAUCUUCCCAAGUUUCUAUACAUAAACUAUGAACACGGAAUUAAACAAUACAAAAAUGGUAUUCUUCUUCCAUUGACAUUUGAUAUCAGCUUCAGAAAAGGCAAAAGACAAGAAUAAAGAGAUAAAACAAAAGAUUAAAUCAAUCCUAUAUCCUUGACUGACAUAAUUUACCUUAAAAACUCUAUACUUUAACCAAUCCCACCUAUAUGAUUUUUCUGUUUUCCUAUACAUAACUUAAAGCUUACUUGGAACCAAGUCAUUGUAUUGUAUUUCAUGUAAUUUUUUGAAGCAGAUCCUCAUCUCCUCCAUCUGCAUUGAAGGAAUAGAUGUCGACCGGGGCCACCGUGCAACCCAUGGCAUUCUGCUUGGUUCUUUUAUUACAAAAGGAGCCUCGGUGUUUGUCUAGAUAGAUUACAAUCACGGUGAUAUCGUCGUGAAAAUGGCGCCUUAUCCCCUUUUUUAUUUUCUUGAUGUCACUGUAUCUCAUCUCCCUUUUCUUUGCAACUUCUUGAAGUACAGCUCUUACCAAUCUCCUGGCAAUACCCUGCAAGCAUUCAAGCAAACAAAUAUCAAUAAUGAAAUGCAUUGCAUUUCCAUAGGUUUCAUUAGGUUAAUGGAAGAACACGAAUACUCACGGCUCUCGGGUUUUUGAAAACGAUGUUUACAGCAGCUUCAUCACUCAACUGCUCCCAUAGGCCGUCUGAUGCAAAGAUGAGGAAUUGAUCCUGUGGCUUAAGCUUUCUAAUAAGGAUCGUUCUGCUGUAAUAACCGGCCUUUUAAGAGGAACAGGGUUUCCGAACUGCUGGAAGAUCGGAUCUCUAUAAAACUCAGGUUUCUUCAGGUAAACAUCACCUAUAGAUCUUGACACCUGAAAUAAGAAAAACAAAAAUGGCUUAGACCAGCAUGAUCACUCACAUGCUCAAAGAUCAUGUAUUAAUCAAUCAUCUCCAGUUCUACAAUCCAAUGUAAGAUAAAAGCUAAUGCAUCUUAUUCUCUCGAUUCGUGAAUGGAUCGAAGUAAAAAGCUCAACUUGCCUACCAAAGUAAAGGGGAACAACAUCACAAAAAGAGAAGAAAAACAUAAAAACGAGAGAGCAUCGAUUCCUUGCAGUUACAUAAGCCUAGCUUUAUGCUUCAGGGGCCUGCAUUUGUCCAUCUCAUGCAUAUAAGGCAUACUAUAUGGAAAAUAGCAGCAUGAAACAGUACUGGAAAUCAGACCAAAAUAUUCUUGGAAAAGUCGAAAAACUCAGAAUUAUAACCAUUUUUUAGAAUGAACUUCCAUUCUAAUGCACAAUGUAUACAUCCAUAAUUAUACCUCUCCAUCAAGCAAAAAGAAACAAAAUGGUUGCAAGCAAUGCCUACGAAGAGGAAGUUAAUUGGCAACUAAUUCUAGAAUCAACAUAUUGAUCAUUUCUCAAGCAGACUAGUUUUGAACUAAACGAUUAUAAAUCAACUUGUCAAUAAAAUUGUACCUGGAUUAUGCCCUUAAUCUUCCAAACUCCGCGGGUGUAAACGACUAUAUGUGAGUCAUCUGGAUGAAGUUCCUCGACCUCCUUUCGAACUUCCUCGACUCCAACAUUAUGAUCAGUUGACAACCUCUCUGCCACUACUGUGUUUUCCUUAUCCCCCGAAGCUUUCCUGCCAAGAACAGCUCUCGAGUCACCGAGAUUCGCCACGUAUAACACAUCAUUCGAAAUUGCACCAACUAGACAGCAUGAUCCAACCGAAGCAAUUUGAGGCCUCACGGACAAUGAUCGCUUCACCAAACGCAAAAACUCCUCUUCAGUGGCAUUGAAUGCCUUCUUUAUCACAUCUGCAGAUAAUCCCCCUUGUUCUGUAGCAAAUUCUACAAUGAAUAAAGAAAAAAAAAUUUAAGGGUCUCCAUCAAUCUUUUUUAGAAUCCAAGUGCAUGCUUAUCACUGAAAAGUGUGCAAAACAAAGAAAAAUAAAUGACCUGAAAAAUGCCAAAACUUGAACUACACUUACUAAUUAUUCCGAAAAAUUCAAGUCCAGACAACCCCAAGUAGAUACAAAUUUAGACAAAUAGUUCAUAUUCUCUUUUCCCAUCAAAACAUAGUGCUACAUGACUGUGGAGCGGGGCAAGAUAGAUAUUGUCAAAUUCAUUACUGUUCCAUUGCUGGCAUGAUCUGCCUCGACCCCACUCUGCUUCGCCAUAAAUGUUAAAACUUGAAUAUCAUUACUUUUAAUAUGCAUAAUCUAUCAAUACCUCACCUAAUAUAUACAUUUUUACUCGUUUUAAAAGUUAAAUAUAUAAGAAUAGAGCAAAUAUCAAAAUUAAGUGCCCCAUUGGUCCCUCUUUUACUGUUAAAAAUUAGAAAAAGAAAGUCUAUUUGGAGUCAUCAGUUCGAAAUCUAUCAAACUAAAUACAUAUUUGAUGAUUCCAUAGACAACUUAUGAUUUUCCUGACAAGGUCAUAUCUAUAUACAUACAUGAUCACAUGUUCAUUCAUGUCAUACAUACAUAGGAAUGUUGAAAUAAAGAGGGAAAAAGGGAAUUACUGUGGAGAAAAGGGAAGAGAUGUUUGUUAACAAAACGGGAAGCUUCCGGACCGCCAUGACCAUCGUAGACGCCAACGUAGGUAGCAAAAGGAGAGGUGAAGACUUGGCUUUGAUCUUCGAGACAGUUGUUAGCCUGCACGACGGCGAUGGAGAAAUCACCGGAAGCGUGGGGUUUAAGGUCAGCGUGCCACAUGAGAGCAUCCCCACCAGCUCUAACGCCAAGACAACGUUCGAGCGGCCUGGAAAGGGACCGUAACAUCAUCAUCAUCGUGUUUAAAAAAUAAUAAUAAUCCCUUUAUAGGGGAUUUGAUUAAAUGAAAACCUUUUCGAUGGUUUCAAUGGGGGGUUUCACUUUGGGGGAGAGGAAAAUGGAAAGAUAUUAAGAGGGAAAGAGAGAGUAGAGAGUGGGGUAAAGUGAAUGGAAAAGAAAUGCCGCGUAAAGAGAGGCAGAUGAUGAUGACCAACGACCCCCGAUGCUUGCUGUAAUUACUUCCCACUCUACGCGUUAACCACCCUUUUUCUUCUUUUUUGACUUUUAAACCCAAAUCCUUUUCUUUUAUUUUUAAUUUAUUGAAUGGAGACACUUAGGUCUAAUUUAAUAUUUCAAUUUUUAAAGAAUCGUAUCAGUGAUUGAAUUAUGUAUCUACUUAUUCUCGAUUUAAUCGGUUAGUUUAGCUCAAUUUAGGCCUGUUCAGAUUAUUCAACUUAAAAAUUUGUUCGAAAAGUGAGAUGAUUUAGGUAAAAAUAUAUGUUUAAAAAAUAAAUUUUAAUAAAAAAAUAAGGUAUAUUUUUUAAAUAGAUUGAGUCUUAAUAUUUUUUUGUUCAGGCUCAACUUGAUCUGGCUCAAAUUUGUAAAAAAAAAAAAUGUUGUUACUUUGUCAUUGUUUUACUGUCAUUUCGCUAUUAUAUUAUUACUAUUUUAUUGUUUUUGUUUAGAUAUUGUAUAAUUAUUUUUUUAUUGUUGAUUUGGCUACUAUUUUAGAACCAUUUGCUUACUAAGUUGCACUUAUAUCUUGGUGUUAGUUAAGUAUAAAUAUCUUUUAAAAAUUUGUUUUCAAUUUAUUGGGAAACAUUUAUUGCUCCAACUGACCUAUGGAUAGCUCUAGUUCAAUCCUUUUGCCCGAAUUGAUAUAUCAAUUGAUUUAUUGGUUCAACUAAUUCGAUUAGUUGAUUUUAUUUGAUUUGAUUCAAAAACACUAAGUGUUAUUUCAAGUUUAACUUAAUUUAUAUUUGUGUUGAUAGUUUAAAUUAUUUUAAUUUUAAAUCAUUCAAAUUCAACACUUAAUUUUUUGGGUCAGAUCGUUUUAGGACUAUUUCAUAUUAUAAUUUUAUAAAAAGGAAGUUGAACUGAAUAAUAUUUAAGUUUUUGAGUUGAAAUUCAAAUCAAUGUUAUUAAAUUGGGUCAUAAUUAAUAGGUGUACUAGAAUCUAAUUACAAAUAUAUAUCUAUAAGAUAAAACCAAAAAUAAAGGAUUAACAUCUGACCAAGUAUUGACAAUGCAUUGUUAUCCACAAAUUUAAUUAGAUACAAAACAAGAUAAACACUGUAAUGUGAAUUUCGUAUGUUAACUUAACGGUUAGGAUAUUCAUCGCUUCAAAUGUGAUUUGGGAUUGAGUCACAUUAUCUCUAAUAUGUCCUCUACCAAAGAAAAUGGAGGACUAAAGUUUGAAAUCUUAUUUAGUAUUUACAGCCAUGAUCAAUUUCUCUUUAUGAUCUCCACCCAUACAAUAAAUGUGAAAAGUGUAGCAGUACGAAUACCAUGUUUUUAUAGGGGCCGCCAUUCAAGAAUAUAUUACUUCCUCUGAACCUGACACUAAGGCAUGGAUAGCAACUUACAAUGUAUCAAAUUAAACACUAAAAUUAAACUCAUAUAUCAAAUUGAGAUUUAAAAAAAAACACUCAAAUACAAAAUUUGACAUUAAAAUCAAACGCAAGUACCGAAAAAUAUAUUAAUCCAUAUUCAUAAACCUUUUUCUUUGUUUUUGCACCCGUCAAAAUUCCAAGACUUACAUAUCUCUAAUUAAGAGCAUCAUCAUUUACAAAAAUUAAAAAAUUAAUCCCUCUACUUUAAUUUGUUAUAAUUUGUCCCACGUAAGUUAUAACAACCGAAAAGUUAAUCUAAUUAAGUAAUAUUGUUAAACCUUAUCAUUGAAUUGUUUGUUUGGAAACCAGCAAUUUAACAACUUAUAUGCAACAAAUUAACAAAACUCAUUUGUUCAAGUUCAUGUUUUGAAUAACACCUGGACUAAAUUUCCAAUUUUCAUAUGCUACAAUGACUAAAUUUUGACAAAUUAAAGUAGAGGGACCAACUUCUCAAUUUUCAUAAAGUAGGGGAUGAAAAUCAUAAUUAGACCAUGUAUAUGUUCUAUCGUGUGAGUUGGGGCCUGUUUUAUAGUAUACUUCUACAGUAAGGACAGUCCCCACACGUUCUGAGCCAAGGAUCUAAGCAAGCAAAGUGAAACCUGUGCCCACACGGCAGCUGAGUAAGCACAUCUCCUUCUCCGAAGCUUUCAAGGCAUAUACUGCAAUCUCUUGAUUCCCUUGAUGUCUUCCUUUCAACAUUGAUGUCUUGGCUGCGGAAAAUUUCCAGCGGCAAACGGUCCAGAGCCUCCUGAGUAAGUCCAGGAGGCUUCUUGUUUGUUUCUCGUAACAAUUCGAAUCUUUCUGCUUCAGAGGUUAAUGGGGAACCCCUAGCUGCCAACCCUGUAGAGAGUUCACUUAUGAUCCUAAAAUCAUCGCGCGUUACAUGCUCCCGGUGGGAAGCAUUAGGUGGAGCUCUAUUGCUUCGCCUGAAGAAAACAACAGGAAGAAACCGUAAUGAGAGGGAAAAGAAAAGAUGUACAAAAUGUUUAAAUAGCGGUUAAUGCAGGACCUAACAUAUAUGUGUCCAUUAUUGAAUGCCACGUGCAAGUAAAAUUCAGGAUCGAGUGGUCCACAUGCUUCUCUCAAGCAGUAGAUGGUAGUUAGGAAACGAGUAACACUAAUUCGCUGUGUACAUGAAGUGGUACCAAAAGUGGUCUGGAUAGUCAUAGUGGCUAAUGAUGUUACUACUUAGAACCUAUGUUACUCAGAGUCAGGCAUGAGUUUCAGAUAUGGAUAUGUAUCCAGUACAGGUAUAAUUACUUUUUCUAAGUUUUUCCAUAUAUUUAAAAGAUCCUUGGAGGUCAUAUCCUCGUAUUUGUGUGUCAGACACGAGUGUCAAAUGAAGAGUCCGAGCAACAUAGCUUAGAACCACUAAUAUUACCAUAGAAUAGGAAGCACCAGCAGUGGGACUGGACCAUAUUGAUAGUUAGCAAUGCGAGAACAACAGGCACUAAUGGGCAGAAAGCACCAAUAACAGCAGUGGGCCUGGAAAUUAAGGUACUACUGGUAGGUAAGGAGUGACGAAAGCAAUAUCAGCUUGAAUGUAUAAGCAGAAGUGGGACAGAAAUUUCAAGCAUAAAAACAAAAAUUCAAUCUAUUCAAGAAUAUAUACAUAUAGAGCGAGAGAGAGACUAAAUUCAACUUAAACAUUUUCAAGGAAAAAAAGAAAAAGCCUGCCGAAAUAUGAUGAUUAUGUUAGGCAAUUCCAUAGAAGAAAGUUCAAAUUCACUAGUGACAACCCACCCAACUGACCAGCUGAAAAGUCCAUGGUAAGUUGGAAAAUAGUUUGGACCGAGUGAAAUUAGUCUCAACAUUAACUGGCUACAACCCCUAACAGCUCUACCAUAUGAUACGGUAUCUCUAUUCUUACUGCUAAACCAAGUCAGACUCCUAGUACCCCUAAUACAAGACUACAUAUUUAUCAUUUGGAUUCACUAAUAAUAAGGUAGCACAAUGAACUGCAAGGCACUGAUUCUUCCUACAGGUUACGAUGCAAAUUGCUCAUAUGAUAGACACUUCUUUUGAUCAUAUUGCACCCUCAAUAGAUCCACAAAAUCAAAGUUCAAGAGCAAAAUCAUUCUGAAUUUAGGUAAAACUUUCACAGACACAGAGCUCCACAUGACUUGUCUAUCCUAUCAUCAAACUUCAGAAAUAAGUAAUAGAGAAGAGAUGUGCUGUGCUGUGCUGUCUUUAAAAAAUGAAAUUUGUGACAGACCAAGAAUAGUGGGAUAAAUUUGGUCCAACUUGAGUAGCAAAACAAAUUGAGUGCCACAGGCAAGUUCACCAUCAAUGAUAAAAGUGGCUUCCAAUUGGUGUCAAAGAUCAUGCAGAUAAGAAAGAACAUGAUUCAAUAGCUAUUAUAAUUUACUUGUUCUUGCAGUUUGACCAGUAAUAAUGCUGUACAUAAUACAUGGACAAGAAAUGCAAAUACUAAAAGUUGCAAAUUUGCAGAGAGCUCUAGGUAACCUGUUUGCAGAAACAGACACGCCUCUUAGUCUUUCAACAAGCCUUGCUCUUGCAAGCAGCACAGCUCCAGGAAGCCUCUCAUUUGCUCUCAAACUUUGCCUGCUUGAACUGCUUACACCAUCUGCAUUUAAUCCAUAGCUCGAACUGAGCUCACCAGUACCUUCAUCAAACCCUUCUCUAGCAAGCCUCUCACUUGAUCUCAAACUUUGCCUUCUUGCAUUGCUUACACCGACUGCAUUUAACCCAUUGCUCGAUACAAGCUCGCUGGUACCUUCAUCAAACCGCACUGAUGAACGCUCCUGAAAAAGUAAUAUCCAAAUAUAAGCGAUUCAGGCAAGGAGAAAUAAAUUACAUAGACUAGGUAAUAAUAUCAAACUUCCUUGUUUAUUCUUGUAUAUGUGGCAAAAUCUUACUGCAAGUGAGCUUAGGCUUUGCUUGGUACCAAAGAUGGAAAGGAUGAACAUGGAAAAUUUGUUCAUCAAAUGUUAAGAUUCAUAUCCACCUUAUUACUUUGUAACUUAACCAUCAGAUAAACAAUUUUCCAAUUCACUCCUUUCCGUCGUUCAUAACAAGCAGAGCCUUAGGGUUUAGAAAAAUUGUCAAGAAAAUACCUAUUCUUCAGUAAUUUCACUGAUAAAUUUAGCUUAAAACUAAUAAUUUUCAGAGCAAAGUUCAGUAUUGAAGCAUAAAACAGACAACGAAUAAAGUACCAAUAAAUUGGUUGAAAAUCCAAUUCUUAAAUUAAAAAUAAAAAAAUAAAUAUAUUUUCCCUUCCAAAAAUAAUACUUAAUUCACCCCCAUUUUUCCUUUAAGUUCUCUUUUUUCUCAGCAAUAAAAUAAAAACAAAUACCUAACAAGAAAUAAAUAAUUUGAAAAAAAAAAGGUAAAAGAGAAAUUGAGCGCACAGAGAGCGAGGAAGCACGGGAGCUGAAGUGGCGCACGUGGGGAGACCGGCGGAGGGAAUCACCGCCGUCCAAAUCAUGCCUCUGAUUGUGAUGACUGAGAUGAUUCCGGCGAUGGUAAUUCCGUUCAAUUGAGGACCCAAUCCCUGAAUCCGGAUCGGGUCGACCCACUCUUGACCUUCGUGUGUAGAAUAACUCCGAAGCGCUUGUCAUCCAACUAAAACCCCCAAAUGGUGUUUUGAUCUGAUCUUACCAAUUAAAAUUUAUUUUUAAUUUCUCCAAAAAAAAUUUAAAUAAACAUGCAAAUUGUAAUUUGGAUUAAGAAAUAAAGGAAGAGAAGCUGAUGAACCCUACGAAGAAACGCGGGAGAAAUUCCUGCGAAUGAAAAUCGAUAGCCUUAGCUUCAAAGGAAAUGAAUGGAAAGGGAUGUGCGUUUUUUUAACCCUAAAUGGUUUAAUUCCGGUUUUAGUCCCCCUCCUAAGCUAAAAUGUAAUAUUUAAUCUUAUAUUUUAAUUUUAUAUACUUUCGUCUUUGAUAUUAAAGAAUAAUAUUUGAUACACCGCAAAUACAUUAUCAUCGAACAAUAACAUGAUACUUGAGUAUAAACAAAAUUAGUGAAAGAAUUAUCAAUAAAUAUUAACAAUUUUAUUUAGUUUUUUUUUUAUUUUUAAAUUUCACAUUUCGAAUUUUAGAUAUAUUUAAAUAAAAUUAUUAAUAUUUAUUUAUAAGUCAUUCAUUAUUUUUUAUUUCAUUAGCAUUGAGGUGUCGUGUUAUUAUUCAUUAAUGGUUGACGAUUUAUUUUUAUUAAUUUUUAUCAUUAUAACGAUGAUGUGAAAUCUUUUAUUGACAAUUUUGUUAUGGUCAAGGUAGCCAUAAUAUAUGUUUUUUAAUACAAAUUCUGGAUAAUAAUUAGUAAUAUUAAGAAAGUAAAAAAAUUAAAUCAUGUUAAAUUAAUCGAGGUUUAAGGGUGUAAAAGCUCUUCAAUUUUUUCAAAAAAGCAAUUAAGUCUUUACUUUUUUCACUCAAUUGAGUACUUUAACUUUUAAAAUGCAUAAAAAAGGACCUUCAAACUUUUUCAAAAAAAAUUAAGCCCCUACUUUUUUUUACACUCAAUUUGGCACUUGAACUUUCAAAAUAUAUAUAAAAAAAAACCUUCAAGCUUUUUCAAAAAAAGCAAUUAAGCCCAUACUUUUUUUUUACUCAGUUGAUUGGGUAAUUAAAUUGUCAAAAUGCAUAAAAAAUAACAUUUGAUUGUUAACUUUAACAGUUAACCGUUAAAAUUAACUGCCCCUAAUUUUUUUCAAUUAAAAUCAUCCCGUGUCACAACCACAACAUGACAUAUGACAAAACAAUUAUAAAAAAUAAAAAUCAAUACAAGUUAUAAAAAGUAUUAAACUUUAAUAAAAAUAUAAAAUUUAUUAAAAUUGUAAAAUUUUAUAAAAAUCAUAAAUAAUUAUAAAAUGUAUCAAAAAGGCCCUUUAACCAUCAAUUUUUACCGUUGACUGUUAAAGUUAACGACCCCCAAUUUUUUUCUAAUUAAAGUCAUCACGUAUCGUAAUACAGUGUGGCAUGUGGCAAAAAUGAUAAAAAAAAAUAAAGAACAAUUAAAGUUAUAGAAAAAUUAUAAAAUGCUUGUUUAAAAAUUAUAAAAUACUUCUUUUGGUACGAUAAUUUUUAUAUUUUUUUAUAAAUUUUAUAUUUCUUUACAUUUUUUUAUAAUUUUCUUACAAUUUUUAUAAUUGUUUAUGAUUUUUAUAAUUUUUUUUCUAAUUUUUAAUAUUUUUAUAUUUUUAUUAAAAUUUAAUGAUUUUUUAUAAAUUUUAUUUAUUUUUAAUUUUUAUCAUUGUUUUGCCACAUUUCACGCCAUGGUUGUGACACAAGAUAACUUUAACUGAAAAAAUUAGGGUCAGUUAACUUUAACGGUUUGAUUAUUAAAUUUAACAAUCAAAGGGUCUUUUUUUUAUGCCUUUUGGCAGUUCAAAUACCCAAUUUAGUGUAAAAAAAAUAAAGGUUUAAUUGAUUCUUUUUUUAAAAAAAAAGUUUGAGAGUCUUUUUUGUGCAUUUUGACAAUUCAAGUACCUAAUUGAGUAAAAAAAAAGAACAAGGGUUAAUUAAUUUUCUUGAAAAAAUCUUGAAGAUUUUUUACACCCUUAACCCAUUAAUCAACCAACUGUGUCAUUGAAAUUUGAUGAUUUGGGAAAAUAUCUUGUGAAUAUCAAUUAGAGAAAUUAAAUCUGAAUUUCAAUAUAUUAGAGGGACUAAACCCAGAAAUUUACCGUGAAAAAGAAAAGGUAUAUCUUUAUGUGUUAGUUGAAGGACUAGUAUUUAGAUGUAGCCACGCGUUAAACAAAGUGUUCCAUUACAUCAACAUAGAAUUUAUUUUCCUUCAAUAAGAUUUUUUGCGUUGACUGUUGACCAUGGAAAAACUAUAAAUCAAAUUAUUAAUUGAAAAUGAUAUAUAUUCCUUCAAUGAGAAUCUUUUUAUUACCUUAAGUCGAGAAUUUGAUUCUCACCUUGUAUAUGGAGUAGUUUUAGAACUCGUAACUUAAUAUCUACCUCUUAAUAGACCUACAGAAUAGAAAAGAUUAGUUACUAUCUAACUUCAAUAAAUACAUUGAAAAAUAAAAAAAAUCGAUAUUAAAUGAAAUAGACAUAAUAGAUUUCUAAAGUCAACUUUGGUCAAUAUAAAUAGAAAAACUAAAUGAAAUUUGGUUUAGGUAAAUUUUGGGUUCAGAUUAAAUUUAAAAUUUAGUUAAUUUUUAUUUAAGUUAAUUAAGUUUGAUUGUAAUUUUUGAAGGUUUGGUGAUUGGGAUUUAGAUUAUUUCGGGUUAUAAUUACUUUGAGUUUAAGACAUUUUAAGUUAUUUAUUCGGGUCAUGUCUAAUUAUUUAUUUGAAUUGUUUCAAGUUUGGAUUAAUUUGGGUCGAUUUCAUAUUUAGGUUAGACAAAUCAAUUUUCAAGAUAUGAACUAGAGUUGUCUAUAAGCCAAGUCACCUAGUCUGGCCCGAAGGCUCGUCGGCAAAUAGGAGGAUUUUAACAAAAAAAUAUAUGUCCAAAAAUGAGAUUGGACAAAAAAUAAGGCUCGUUUUAAAAAUGGGUCGAGCCUCGGGUAAGGUAUUUUUUUACCCUGGCCUGACCUAGAUUUUACAAUAAAAAAAUUGUUGUUUUGCUACCAUUUCACUAUUAUGUUGUUUCAAUUUGUUGAAAAAUAUUUAUUUUAAUAUUUUUUGUGUAUUAUAUUUUUAAUUUUUUUUUAUAUAAAAAAAUUAAUAGUGUCAGACCAUACCCGGGUUUUAGUAUUUUUAUCCAAGCCAGGCUUGGACAAAAAUUUAAGCUCAUUUUUUUGGGCCAAAUUGGGCCCAAAAAUUUAUCAGGACCAACCUAAUUCGACCAUGGACAAGUUUAUAAAAUAGCUAUUUAUAUAUAAAAAAAAAAUUGUCCAUGAGCUAUUUACUAUUUAGAGUAUUUAAAUAUGUCGAUUGAGAUUUAAUUCUUUUUAUUUUGAGAGGUGGAAUAAAAUAAUUCAAUUAAAGUGUAAUGAUGAUAUACCUAUAAUGCAUUAUAUGUCCCAUUCUUCUAUCUUUUUAGGGAGUCAAUGAUUAUUUAUAGCUAUUAUCUUUAUAUCAAAAAAACAAUUCGACUCAAUAAUUAACUACUUUUGCUAGAUUGAUUUUUGAUUAGAUUAAUAUGUUUUUAGUCAAUUUAAAUUUUAAAAAUUUUCAAAUUAUUUCAAUUUCGAUUAGUUUUAACUUUAGAUCAAUUCUUAUUCAAUUAUAUUUUAGACUCAGAAUUAAAUGGAUCGAAUUAUCAGAUUUAAUGAUUUGUAUGUAAAAUUUUAUUUAAAAUAUUUUAAAUACCACUCUAACACAAUUACAUAAUUCAUAGAUUAUAUAAUUUGAAAUUAUCAUUACACACCACCAUUGAUAAUUUCAGCUUGUAAGUCCUAAUAUUUUAUUCAAAUUUCAUAAAAACCCUUCCUUAUCUCCAUGACUAAUUUUGUUUGAUCAUCACAUAUUUGCAUGGGAAUAGUGGUCAUCAUGAACCGAAGACUCCGGUUUAUCAACACCGUCGACGCUUCGAACCCAGAAACUUGAACCGAAAGAAGCCGCCCGGUCCGGAACGUCAUCCAUCACCCAUUCAUGGCCUUUCGGGAAAUAUAUCCCACUCUUUGGAUGUGGAACCCAACUCGAUGAACUUUUUAUAUCGUCGUUACUCUUGCACUUCUUAUUGAUCUCCCGAUCUGCGCCUGCAAUUUUGCUCAAUGGUCGCUCAACGCGUUUUGCUUCCCUACACCCGAAUAAAGUUUCCAAAAGUCAAACAUAUUUAUUAAGUUCAUAAUGAUUUGCCUCUAAAUUUUGUACUUUUGUAUGGUUUUUUUUUGGUAAAAAUUUUAAUUUUUGGCUUUUCUAAAUACAAAACAAAUUUCAAAUUUCAUUUUUGACCAAACAAAAACAUCUCAAAAUCAUGGCUCAAACUUUAAAACGAUCCCUAAAUUUUAAAAUGUUCUAAUUGAAUCUUUAAAAAUAAAGUAUACCUAAAACACGUUUUAAAUAUGCUCUACAUCAAACAUAAACUAACAUUUAACACCCAGAUAGACAGCGAGAGUGACAAAAAAAACUUGGUUAAUACGAUACUAAUAUUUUUAGGACCCAAUUAAACCAUUUUAAAAUUUAAUGACUAAUUUAAAAUUCAUUCUAUAGAUUAAGAAAAUCUGUUGUAAUCAACCCAAAUAAUAACGACAACAUUACGUACCUUAGCAUCAAAAUCUUGGUUUUGGUAAAAGCAGCUCUUCCCAUGCAAUGCAGCUCUUUAAAACCCCUCAAAAAAGGACUCCAAUGCAAUUAUCUAGGACUUGAUCGUUUGUUUUAUAGAAUGCUUUCGAAAGUGCAGUUUUUGUACUUCAAAUUGUAUCCGAACGAAUGAAUAAAGGUUUGACGAAUAAGUUCGAUUGUGAAGGUCCUAAGAAAAUUAAAAUUUUAGAAUAUUAUAUUUCGGAAUUUCGUCUUUUUAUUUUAAGAAAUUUAAUCAUUUUAUAUUUUUCGGAUUUAAGUAUACAGGUCCAAUUAUUAUUAAAAGUGAUUCGACUAAAAAAUUAAAAAAUAUUUCGAAUUUCAAGUUAAUUGAAUUGAGUUAUUCGAUUUUUUCGAGUCAACUAGAAUAAGUAAUUCGAGUUCGAGUCGAGUUGAAUUUUACAAUUCGAAUAACAGAUUAAUGUGAAUACCCAUUUGAUCCCUGUCAAUUUUAAAAAUAGGUAAAUUUAUCUCUCAACAAAGUUUACAAAAAAAAAUCAAAAUAAUUUUCAAAAAAUUUUAAAUAUAAUUUUUAAAAUUCAGAAUAUUUAUAAAAUAUCAAAAUUGAUAUUUAAAAAAUUUAUAAAAAUUCUAAAUAUAAAAAAAAACUUAAUUUUUUUAAAAAUAAUAAUUUUUGGAAAAUUUAACUAUUUAAGUUUAUCAUACUAAAAUAUCUUCUUCUUUUUUUUCUUAUUAUGCUUUGAAAGAAUUUUCAAAUUUAUAUGUUCUAACAUUGAAUUAGUUAUAUUGUAACAAUAUUUUAAUUUGACAUUUUUUUUUAAUUUCACUUGAUUUGGAAAAUAUUCAAAUCGAGUUAGAAUGAUAAAAUGGGACUCGUCAACUCGAUUAACUCAAAAGUUUUUCACUUGAUUCGAUCGAAUGCUCACCCCAAACUAAUAUCAUAAAAAUUCUUUUGUUAAAUUUAGAUUCGUUACAAUAUUAAUUUUUUUAUUUUAUGACUAUCAAAUUUGUUUUUUUUUUCUUUUCAUUUCAAGGUGUCACAGUAAUGAAUUUAAUAGAAUAAUUUUAACAAUAUUAACAAUUAAUUUUUUUUUGACAUUUAAAAAAUAAAGAAACUAAAUUCUUAAAAAAAAAACCAAAUUUACGAAGAAUCAAAUUGGAAAAUAAAGAGAUAAAUAUAUAUUUUUUGGUGCUUAUGUUUAUCUUUGAUUUUAAUUUUGCUAUUUAUAUAUUUUUUUUUCAAAUUGGUACUUAUGUUGUUUUUAAAUUACACAAAAUGGUAUCAAAUUUAUUAUCUGACGUAUGGAAUGAUGAUGUCAUAAUAACAUUUGGGAAAUUAUAAAAAUUUAUAAAAAAUAUGUAUUAAAAAUUCAAAAUAUAAAAAAUUAUAAUGUUUGAUACCAAAUAAAAAUAACAUAAAAAUCAAUUUUUUUUAUAUAUUUUCAUAUUUUUAUAAAAAGAGUAUCAUUUUUUUAUGAAAAUAUAAAAUCAAUUAUUUUUAAUAAAAAUAACUUUUUUAUAAAUUUUAUUAAAAAUUUAUAUCAAAAUCAUGAAAAUAUUCAUCAAGUCACAAAAAAGAAUUACAAUUUCUUACCCGAAAUAUAUAUUUUAUAUUUCCAGAAUUUUUUAGAUUUUUUUUAUUUAAUUUUUGGAUAAUGACAUCAUCAUCAUCACAUAUUAAAUAAUUAUUGGACCACAAAAUAAAAGUUAGCAUCAUUUAACUUAGGUACCAUUCUGUGUAACAGUAGUCAAACGUGGGUACCAAUUUGAAAUAAAAAAAAGGACCAAAAUGAAUAUUAAGAUCAAAUACAUGUACUAAAGAAUAUAUUUAUUUUUUCAUUAAAAUAGUUUAAAUUAAAUUAUUAUUUUUUGAGAGAAGUCAAAAAUGAAAAUUUUCAUUUAAAAAGAAUUAAAAUAUUAAAUUUUAGGAGGGUCCAAGGAACCAAAGCCUCUAACUGCCGUUAGUUUGCCAUUGUCAUUAUCAAUUUACUCGCCCUGAGAGGAGUUUAGCGGCGAAGCUUGGGGAUAAUUUGUGGCCUUGACCCUCUUAAAUUUAAAUAAUUCAAUUUAAUCUCUUUCAGCCCAUUUAUUAAGGAGAGGUCAACUUCUUUAAGAAAAGUUUAUGAAGUAUGAUUCAUUAAAAGCUAGCGAACAUCCCAAUAAAUCGAUAUUAUUUCAAUUGAAUUUUUUAUCUCCCAAUUUUACGAAGAAUUAAUGGGUUCACAAAAUGAAUAUAUCUUAUUAGAUGUCUAAUAAGACAAAUCACAUACAUCGCAUCGCACUUGAUAUCAUAUACGACAUCGAAAAGCUAGUAUAUUACCACUUAAACUAAACACCUAUUUAUUAUGAAAUCUGUUGCUUCGAAUAAACGAGAAAUAACAAAUUUCUCCCGAAAAAAUCGGCCCCUAUCGUUUCCUCUUUUUCAAAAGUAAAUCUUAAUUCGCUCAGGUGAUUUGGAAUAUUGAGAUUUUUUUAGUGAAAAGAGUGGCAAGUUGGUGUGACACCUAAGGUCACUUUAACAUAUAGCUCUAAAUUCUAGAGACACUGUGAAUCGUUACUUCAGCAUAUGCCUCUUGUUUUUUUUCCUUCUUUCACCAGAAUAUAUUCAAUGCAAAGAACUUAUCUCUUACACAUUUGAUUGUUGGUUAAAUUCGAGUUUUAGUCCCUAUAUUAUACUUCCUUCCUGUUAUCGAUGUUAUACUUUAGUCUAAAUCCAUAAUAUCAACACAACUCCAAAUUCAUUAUAUCAUUUAAACAUUAAAAUUAUCUAUUUAACUUGUGAUUUAAAUAAAAAUUAAAUUAUGGUAUAACCACGAUGUGGAUAAAAAAUAAAAUUAUGUGUUAAUUAUAUUUGUAAAAGAAUGAAAUUUUAAUUAAAACGAUAAAGUUUAAAUUUACUUUAUAAUGCAAUGAUAUUUGAGUCAUUAUCCAAUUGAAUUAGUGCCUAAUAACUCGUAACACCAAUUUAAUUAAUUAUGCACAACAUUAAGUUUUAUUAUCUUUCUUUCUUUAAUAGAUUACAGUCAGUUACUUAAAAAAAUUACAGUUAAUUAUUAUUUUAUAAGGUAAACUAUCAAAAUAGUCAUUUUUGUUUCUCUCAUAUUACAUUUUGGUCACUUAUGUUUGAAAUGUUAAGUUUUAGUCACUUACAUUUAUCGUAUUAUAACAUUUUAGUCACCGAGCGUUUAUUGCCGUUAGCAAUAUAACAAUAAAGCUGAUGUGACACGUUAAAUCAUCAAUUCAAACGAAAAUUUUAAGUUAAAUUAUACAAUUGGUCCCUAUUUAUUUUGAGCAAUUUAUUUUUUUAUAUUCUUUGAAUUUUCUUUUUUCUUUUUUAUUUUCCGUUCUCUUCUGUUUCUCCCUCUAUUUUCUUCCAUUCCCUGUCUUUUUUAACGUAAAUUUUCUAUGUUUUUCAUUUCUUAAAAUUUAUCUAUUUUUUUUCUUUUAUGUACUUCUACGUUAAAAGAUAUGGAGAAGUGGUGAAAAUAGAGGGAGAAGUAG
rnacentral:lncRNA from 1 species